rnacentral:lncRNA from 1 species
UUUUUUUUUUUGUAAAAAAACGCUUCGUCUUUUGCGGUUUACCCGCAAACCCGCAAAACCGUGACAGGUUAGUUCAAUAAACCCUCAACCCACGAUGAAUACAACCUGCUAAAUCUGCAAAAUCAUAAACACUCAAUUAUGUGUCCAGGCCCACCCCGCAGCGGACUUACAUAGGUCUGGCACGCGGGUUGUGGCCCAUGUUGACAUCUCUAUUUAGUUUAAGUCAGAAUCUAAGAAACUUAAAUAAUCUCAUUUCAUAUAAUUGACAUAAAAUAAAAAUAUAUUUACAGAUCUUCUACACAAAGUAAUAGCUAAAAAAGUUUCAUUUUAAUUUACUAUUUGAAUAACUAAUUUAAUUUAAUUUUAAUGAACUAUUGUUUUUAAUUCAAAAAGUUAAUUUCAUAUGAGAUUUCGGAGAAUUGAUGGCUCUUAGUUGGAGGAAUCCCCAAUGCUAUUCUUUAAAUCGACAGCUCUUUUUUUCUUUAGAAAAUUGAAUUGUUAAAGAAAAAAAACAGUAUCAUGUUUAUAUAGCAUUAAUAAGAAAAUUGUAGAGAUAAUUUUAAAAUAUUUUAAAAAUUUAUCCAAUUAACUUUUUGAAAUAUUAAAUAAGUAGAUAUCUUUAUCUCAAACAAAAAAAUAAUAAUAGUAAUAAUUUCUUAUUCUUAUUAUUUAUUUGAUGAAUAUGUAAUUUCUAAUUAAUUUCCAAGUAUCCCUUGACAAAAUUUGCGCAAAUUGACACAUACUUACAUCUAUCCAUACUAUUAUUUGCUAGGUCAAAAAUCUUAGGUGUCGUUUUCACAAUGAUCGUCCUACGUGUCAUUAAUAAAAAAAUAUUAUGUGAUGUUUUAAUUAGUUCUCAUUGUUUGAUCAUUAAUCGUACCUGUGACAUAUAUUUAUUUGCUCUAAAUGGACCGUAUAAGCAUGAAUGAUCUGCUAUGGGCCAGCAAUUUCGAAAAUCUAUCCCUAGUCGGUGUUAACUAUAAACUUAACGUGUCCAUUCGGCUAUAUACAUACUAGAUAAGGACCCACAUAUAUAGGGGUUUAUAGUUCAUUAUUUUAUAACCGGUGAAAAAACAAUAACUAAAAAACUCUUUUAUACAGAAAUAAAAAAAUAAAAUUUUUUUUCCUUUUUUAAAUUAGUAAUUCAUUUUUUAAUCUUAUUCAUCUAAAUGUGAAAACGAAAAUAAAAUUAUUUUCAUUUUCUUAUUAACUUUACAUUUUAAAACUAUUUUUAGGUCUAGCGCUUUUUCCCCUUUUUGUUUGUUCAUCAAUUAAUUAUUCUAUUAAUAAUUUAAAUAUGAUUGUUUUCUUACGCUUUGUUUUAUUUUGCUUGAUACAUUAUUUUGUCGUAUGAACAUUUUUGUAUCAAGACGUUUGGACGAUCUAUAGCGUCUGAAAAUGUCAUGCUCUUUUGUUUUUUUAGAACGACACAUGAUUAGUUUCUAUAGUUCUUUUGAUCCCAAUUUGUAUAUUUUGUUUCAUCAGCUUCAUUUAUUGUUUCGUUCAGUGUUUGAUCGAUACACCACUUCAUCAUGUGGAUGCUUUGUAUCUCGCCAGGUGUGUGGCUAAUAAACAAACGAUAUAGUGUGUAUUUGGACAUGUUAUGGUUCUUUUGUUUUGUUUUUUGUUUUUUUUUUUUAAAUUGAAACAUAAUUACUACCUAAAUUCCUUUUGUUAUGUACCCAGUUCAUAUCUUUUGUUUUUUAAUUUGCAUAUUUUAUAAUGAUUCGUUUCAUCUCUUUGUAUUGACGAUUUCUUGUAUUUUUUUCUUUCGCUCGAAAUUGAUUCGACCUAAAGUUGUUUAUUUUAUUUUUAUUGGUGUGGGUCUUUGAGUUGAUUGAAUAAAAAGUAAGGUAAUUAUUUUGGUUCGUAGAGUUUGUCUAAUCCGUCAUGUUGUUUUGCAGGUUUAAUCAUCGUGUUGCAGGUCAAGCCAAGGCAUGGAGCCAACACUUCUUUAUACAAACUUUCAUGUUCCACAUCAAUCUUCAUUCAUUAAAAAGUGUAUUAUCUUAAGAUUCUUAUAUUGCUUAAGCCUCAGGUAAAGGAAAGAGAGAGAGAUUCUUACGCUAAGGCAGUCCAAUUAUAUUAUUGCUGAAUAUUAGACCAGAAGAGUUGAUUGAUGGCACUUGUAUAAUCCAAGCAAGAGCAAACAAUGCACCAAAAAAAUUGAGUUCAAGAUCAGUUACUCUCGCAAUGGCCACACCUAGGGAUACUACUGCUAAUGCCACAACCUGUGAAAGAACAACUUCUAAAACAGGGUUAAAACGAAAAAACAUGUCAUAAGAGUUUUUAAUUGACCAGGUGAAAUCUCACAAUAAACUAGCAAGACCUUUGUGGAAAAAAAUGGGUUCUUUUUGAAGAGAACAAACUCUGCAAAUGUAAUCUUUGGUGUCAUCUUGAUCUUAGCCAUUUGAUAGAAUCCAACUGGACAAAAACAAAAGCUUUCAAGUAUGAGAUAAGAAGAUAAAAAAGAGUGCAAUCUCUUUAUCUCUUCAGUAUCUGAACUUCGAUCUACAUAGUUUGAUUAGUGCUAUCAAAGGUCAAUUUACAGCUUGAGCUAUAAUUCUUGAUGCAAUCAUUACAGAUUGAGCUAUGAACCUGUUGUGUUUGAAGCUGGUAUUGGCUAGAUCAGAAGAAAAGGUCAAGACAGAUCCAAAAGAGAAGAUAGAGGAGAACAUUAUUGUGUUUGAUGUAGGAGACAUAUUGGAAGUAACUAGAGAGACCUUAAGAAAGUUAGAAGUAUCCAAGCUACCAAAAGGAUUGUUUACCUACGCACUGAAACCAUGGUUUUGCGACCACGCUUUUGAGAAAGAAAAGAACGAGAAGAAAAAAUGACAAAAGCUAGGAAAUGGAUUGCUUAUCUACACUCUGAUACAAUGGUUUUGCUCCCAUGCUUGCGAGAGUUAAAGCCUUCAGGGUCAUGAAAUUGAUCAGCAUUUAUCAUCAUUUGAGAGAGAUUUAAAGCUUUCAAGAACAUGUAAUUGAUCUUUAUUUUAUCACUGUUAAUUUGUCCCUUCUGUAUUUUUUAUCUGAUUAAUAUGGUUGAAAAAAAAUUCUGAAGUAUUUAGGGUAUGUGUAAGUAUAGGGAAGAACUGGCUUUAAGGAGAGAUAAAAGCUACCAAAGAGGUGGUUACCAUUGCGCUGAUCCAUCGAGCCCACACUUAUGAGAGAGAAAUAACCUACCACAUAUUAAUGAUAAUGAAUUUUGGUGAGAAGUAGAGAAUAAAGAAAGCUAAUACAAAUUGAAAAAUAAGAAGAAGAAGAAGACUGAGAGAAUAUAGAGAUGAUGAAAAAUAAAUCAAAGACGAUGAUGAAGAUGAAAGAAAAUGGUGACGAAAUAAGAAAAUCAAAAGAUAUAUAAGAGUAAGAAGAAAAAAAGUACAAGUCAAAGACAAUGAAAAAUAAGAAGGAAAAUAUGAGCAAGAAUAAAAUGAAGAAUUUGGGCCCAUAAAAAGAAGACAAAAGACAUUAAAUUAGAGAAUGAACAAGAACACGAAUAAAAACUGGAAAAAAGAAUAAGGAAAAUUAAGAGACUAGGAAAACCCUAAGACCAAGAGUACGAAGAAGAGUAGAACAAACCAGAAGAUGAAGAAGAAAAAUCCAAAGUAGGAAACUCCAUAAACCUUGAAGACGAUGAAGAAGAGGAAAGAAAAGAUAAAGAAUAAGAAAAUUGAAGUCAAUGAUAAAGAAGACGGAAAAGACGAAGAAGAAGACCCAAAAAAAGAAAAAAAAAACAUUAAAAGAAAAAGUAUGCCAAGACGAAAAUCCGAAGAAUAAGAAGGGGAAGAAGAUGACGAAUUCGGAGAACGAGGGAGAAAGAGAAAUUAAGCAAAUGCAUUCAAGGACAUGCCCACUUUGGAUNNNNNNNNNNNNNNNNNNNNNNNNNNNNNNNNNNNNNNNNNNNNNNNNNNNNNNNNNNNNNNNNNNNNNNNNNNNNNNNNNNNNNNNNNNNNNNNNNNNNNNNNNNNNNNNNNNNNNNNNNNNNNNNNNNNNNNNNNNNNNNNNNNNNNNNNNNNNNNNNNNNNNNNNNNNNNNNNNNNNNNNNNNNNNNNNNNNNNNNNNNNNNNNNNNNNNNNNNNNNNNNNNNNNNNNNNNNNNNNNNNNNNNNNNNNNNNNNNNNNNNNNNNNNNNNNNNNNNNNNNNNNNNNNNNNNNNNNNNNNNNNNNNNNNNNNNNNNNNNNNNNNNNNNNNNNNNNNNNNNNNNNNNNNNNNNNNNNNNNNNNNNNNNNNNNNNNNNNNNNNNNNNNNNNNNNNNNNNNNNNNNNNNNNNNNNNNNNNNNNNNNNNNNNNNNNNNNNNNNNNNNNNNNNNNNNNNNNNNNNNNNNNNNNNNNNNNNNNNNNNNNNNNNNNNNNNNNNNNNNNNNNNNNNNNNNNNNNNNNNAAAUAAUUGUUUUAAUUCUCAUCAGUAGUCAGUUUAUAGAAUCAAGUUCUUUUGUACCUUUUUGAAAUCCUCAUGCCAGUGCAAGGGGUUUAGGAUUUAGGACAAGAUUGUCAAACAAGUCUACACCCAAGAAUAUCUUAAUAGUAUAUUUAAGAUCUUAGGAUUGCCAAACCAUGAAUUGAAAUUACAAACACCUAUUAUGAUGGUUUAGAAUAUUGACCCUAGAGGUGGUUUAUGCAAUGGAAGCAGACUCUUCGUAACACGAUUGGCCAAACAUGUUAUUCAAGCUAGCCUCAUAACUGGUGAGUAUAUUGGUCAAAAGGUCUUGAUCCUACGAAUGUUUGUUUCCCCCAUCAAGACAAUGUUUCCUUUUAGAAUGAGGCAUAAACAAUUUUCUGUAGCGAUUGCCUAUGCAAUGACUAUCAAUAAAAGCCAAUGACAGACUUUGUAAAAGGUUGGAUUGUAUUUACCAAAACCAGUUUUCCAUGGAUAACUUUAUGUGGCUAUAUCACGUGUUACUUCGAGAGCUAGUUUGAAGAUUCUUAUAAUGGAUACUAUAGGUAAGCCACAAACCAAUACUUUGAACGUUGUAUACAAAGCCGUCUUUCAGAAUAUAAAGAAACGAUAGUUUCUUUUAUUUGUUUUGGUUUAGACCUUUACUAAUUAAAUAGUUUGUUUUAAUAACAGUUUGGUUUACUUAUGAUUCAGAAAUACUCUUUCUCUUUUUUCAUUAAUGGUUAUCCUGAUUGUCGAGAAUCGAUACUUUUAUUAAACAUAAAGGAAAUCGAGUACAAAACCAUAAUGGUGUUUGAAAAAUACACACUGAAACAAACUGCAACUUAAAGAUCUGCAGUAUUGGAAUGUUGUACAUCAACAAUUAUUAAUGCACAUAACGAUAGUGGUCAUGGUUGAUAAAGUAAUUAAUUUUUCCAAAAGUAUCAUUAUCCAACUAUCGAAAUUUAUGGGUUUAUUAACGAUACAGAUCACAAUACCAUUAUCCAACUAUCGAAACUUUUCACCAUUAUAAAAAAAAAUUAAAUAAAUGAUUCAUGAUAGUUAGUAUUGUUAGAAUAAGAGAAUUUUAAAACAUAUUAUUUUAAAAGAUUAUAUAUAACUUAAAAAUCUCCUACUUAUCAAUGAUCUCCUUUAUAAAUUUUGUGAUCAGUUUUGUAUACAUCGCAAGCCCGCGUUUGGCGCAGGUCCUCACCUAGUUUUUCAUUAGUUUUAAGACACUUUUUCAAUGUUUCAAAGACAAGUUGAUAUUUUCGAGUGUGAUCUGAGAGAAGGGGAAAACAGGGUUUUGCCGUUUUGGGUUUAGGAGGUCUGACUCUAUUUCCAUAGCUGCCGCAGUUAUCAACGUGAUCCAGAAACAGUGACAAAUGGGGUUUACGAUAUAGGAGCUCCGACACUUUUUCCAGUGCCACAGCCUUUGAACCACUAGUGAAAGGAUGUCAAAACUGCUGUCGUUUCGGGGUGCCGGGUGGGGGAAGAUGAAGUAACUGUUGGAAUAUUGAUUCCCAAAAUAGAGUAAGAGAGAAGAAACAGAGUAAGAUAUAAAGAUUAUCUCUUUUCUUCUAUAAAAGAACAUAAAUGAAAUAGAAACUUUUAUUGAAUCUGAAACUUGUUAAUUACAACAAGACAAAAUUGGUUUAUAUACAAAACAAACAGAUAUUAACACAAUGAGUUGUGUCUAUUCAUACUUGUGACUCUUGACAUAAAUAACUACUUUUACUUAAUAGACAUAUCUCUAAAACACACUCUUUCACACACAACUUUUCACACACAUCAUUUGACUUAACAUACUAAACUCAGUUAUCAAAUGAUAUUUAGACCAAACUCAAUUAUAAAUCAACAGUAACAGAAGAAUAAAAUGUUCAGUACAUCAUAUUGUUGAAGGGAAAACCGAAAUGCAUUUUCUCAAAAAAAAAAAAAAAAAGCCGAAAUGCUUCGCAAACAUAUGUGCUACAAAUGCAUUGUUUUAUAUAAUUACCUUAGGUCCUUACGAUUGAUCUUAUUGUCAAUUUCCGCAAAAUGCUCGAAAAAAUCCGAUUAUCAUGCUAAUCUUUAUAUAUAGUUAGUUACCUACACCCAAGUUAAUUACGAGAGAAAAAAAAUGUUCCAAAUGUUGUCAGCAGAAAAAAAAAACGACACCCUACUUAAUUACGUACAUCUUGCACCGCAUAUAUGUAUGUACGUGACAAGACAAAAAUAACGCAUAUAGUGUAUGUACAUUUUAACAUCGAUUCCAAAAUUAUUUUUCUUUUUUUUCAUCUUGGCAUCUUCACAUAUCACAUGAUCCCUGUGACCUGAUAUUUAGUAAAAUGUAAACGACGUGAUUAGGGAAAAUAUCAAAACUUAUUUUCCAAUAAGAUAAAUUAGGUUAUGCUCGUAUAGCCAUCUGUAAUAAUUUUUAUCUUUAACAUUUUUAAAAGGCUAGUGUAUCAAAAAAAAAAAAAAAAAGAGAGAAAGAGAACACCUAUAUAUAAACUAGUCCAGUCCCACAAAAUUGUAUCUGUGGACUAGUCAAUUCAUUGACAAAUCCAUAAUCUUUUCGUUGUUGCCGUAGUCAUGAAGAGCUUCAUUUUAAACAUAACACUCCUUGUAGCUCUGCUUUGCCUAGUCACUCUACCGAUUUCAACAGUUGGAUUACCAAAGAUACCGUGGCCUAAGCCGUCAGAACUAGCGGCAGGCCACUAUCAUUUGAAAGGCUCUGGCCACCUCACAGACUCCAAGGUUGGUUGGGUUUGCACUACUGUCACAGAACAAAACGCACCUCCAUCACCUUCGGGAUUACUUCCAGGGUUUCCGAACAUCCCGGGACUUCCUAGCAUCCAAGAACUACCAAACAUCCUGGGGACUCCAAACAUUCCAGGAUUCCCUAACAUACCGGGUAUCCCUAAUCUCCCUAGCCUCCCAGACCUUCCAGACUUCCCUCGUCUCCCAGACUUACCGGGACUCCCUCGCCUCCCAGACCUCCCUGACCUCCCGACCCUUCCUCGCCUCCCUCCCCUUCCGGGCCUCCCGGGCCUCCCAGGCCUCCCUAGCUUACUGAGUCUGCCUCCUUUACCACCAUUCCAAUCAGUAGUCUUUUCGCAAUCAUUAGAAAUGGAGAACUGCUUGACAAAAGAUGGAUCAAAGACCACAGAGAAAUGCUUUUCACAAAUAUUCUCGAGCUGGGCAAAAAAGGAUUUUGUUUUGGACAAGGAGUGUUGUGAAAUCUUUGUGAAGAUGGACAAGAAGUGCAAUAGCCACGUUCACACGUUGUUCAACAGCCGCUUCUUCGCACCUCUUCUUCAAUACUCAUGUCAAAUCAAGUUCAAAAGAAACUAAGCGAUUCACUCCAAUGGAUAUUUAGUUUAUAUGUUAGCUGUUUAUUUGUUAUUUGGAAUAAUCAUCUCUAUCAUGAUAUGUUCUUCGGUACGGUGAUUAAUAAAUAUGAGCUGUUCUUACAAUCCAUACUAAGUUCUCUCUACGUACGAAUUUACUUUCGGCUGGUAGUUAAUCAUUAUUUUACCAUGCUUAAUAUUAUAUUAUACACAUUGAGAUGGUUAUUCCGUGUUUUAUUUGUGUAUAACCUAUUAAUUAAAAACCUUAUAAUCAUUAUAGCAAAAUUACUUGGGUAUAUGAUCUAGUUCAAAGUUAUAUAUAUUCUUGUAACACAUAACAAUAUUUAUUGUACAAUAUAAACAUGUAAGUUUAUCUCUAAUAUUUUGUUCAACGCAGUAACUCAAUUAUUAACUGUAAACUUUCAAGUUCAAGUAUCAAAUAUACGUGAAAGGAAAACAUGCAUCAUUUUAUCAAAUCAAAUUAACAAGAGACAACUUCUUUUUUUUUCACUAAGAACUAUUUCGUCUGGUGAAACUCUUUUAAAAAGCAUAUUGGGAUCGGCCGUCCUCACUAGAGGCGUUGUUGUUCUCGUUUGAAGGUGUAAGAGGGGUCAAGUUCAAACCCAACUUAGUAAGUUGACUCGGUGUGUCCGCAAAAACUCAAAUGAAAGAUUAUAAACUCGCUCUUAUCCGCAGUCGCGACUCUUGUUACAAAGGUGGUGGGCAAAGAUAAAAAUGUCAGAGGGGAAGAAACGAGAUACAUCUACGUUUUGGAGAGACACAAACCGAUGAUUUCCCGAGAUGGGCAAAGGUUUUGACGGAGGCAGAAAAUUUGGAGAUACCUGUUAGUCUUGUCCAGUUAAAAGAAAUAAGAAAUUAAAAUAUUAGAAAUAUGGAGCAAUAGUGUAGUUUUCAAGUUUUAAUUUGAGGAAUGGAUACUUUUAAGUUUUUAUUAGUAUUAGGCUAGUUUAUGUGGAAUCAUAUUUUCAUAACCCCAAACUUACACUAGCCUCUUAGAGAGGGACAGAGAUAAAGAGAUAUAUAAUUUAGAGAAAAUAGGCACAAAAAAUAAACGUGGGUCCCAGCAAUAAAAAGGUUACGCGCGCAUAACAACCGAAAACAAUGAAACUCACGCGCGCAGAUUGGCAAAUAAAUUGGGCCAAAUGAGCAAUAUGGGCCUCAAUUUUCGUAAAAACUAUCUAAGCACACUGGGCUAUUCGCAGAAACUCUAAAGGUACCCAACUCAAUACUACCAAAAUACCCAACCCAAUAGUUUAUGUUAAUAUGGCAUGAAAAAAUGUUAUGCGAUGGGAUUAAUUAGAGAUAAUGAAGAUAAAUUGACAGAAAAUAAGAAACAAAAUACCUAAAUCGGAAAUCUUAGUUUCUAAAUCAGAAACCUUAGUUUCCCUUUCGAGAAGAUGAUGAAAUUGAAAGGAAAAUUAUAAGAUGUAGAAGACGACAUCCGUUAGAAUUUAUGAAAACGAGAGAAGAAACAAUAAACUUGUGACUGAACCAACACAAAGAACUUGAUAGAACCUCACCAAAGUGAAUGAAACCGAUUCUAUCAAGGAGAGAAAUAAAUCUAUAUGAGACUGAACCUGAGGAGUAAUACAACACAAUAAGAGUUUUAUAAUCAAGAGAAGGAUCAGAAUCAGUAAUUAGAUUCAUUAUUAAGAGAGAAAUAACAAGAGAACUAGAAAUUGUUCUUUAGUAGAGAAUGAGAAAAGCAAAUGAAUCACUCUUGAAUUACUUAGGAAAGGAAGAAUCCAAGAGUGUAUUUGGCUGCUAUAAGCAGCCCUAAACGUGUUCUUACUUAGUCUACAUUGUGAAUUUAAGACAAGAAUACAAGAGAAAAAUAAGAGAGAAAAUAUCGUGUAAAAUACUUGUGUAUAUUAAGAAGAUUCUUGUGACCAUAUUACAGACAUAUAUAUAGAGAAUUAAACAUGAGAAAUCUAGUGUGAACACUCUAAAAUAGUAUGACAGGGAAGGACAGAGUCACAUGUCUUCUUUAUUCUGUGUUCACACUCUUGAAAGUGACAGCUCACAAACGUGUGAGUCCAGACUCCAAUUCAAAUCGGUUUCUCUCCUCUUCUUGUCACUUAUGGGCUUUGUCUUGGAUACACUAGGCUUUGUUCCUUCUCAUUCUUGUUCUUCUUGGAUAUGGGCCUCGGCCUUCUUGUAGAUGAACCUCGGCCUUGAUCUUUUUGUAGAUGUACCGAGACUAAGUGAUUGUGUCUAAGUGAUUGAGUCUCGCUAGAAUGUUGAGCUGUAUGGUCUCUUAUCAGCCUUUAACGGUCAAAUCAAUUCGCAGCUCACCACACAAUCUUGAUCUGUAUGGAAGCUUUUCAGUCUUCAGCCUCUAAGCGUCCUACUUGCUGAUCUACUGAGAACUCCACUUAUCUAACUCCUUCAAUCCUUAGACAACAAUUCAUUAACUCCUCCAUAAACUCUCAGUGUAACAUUAAUCCUUCAUUUAUAUUCUUUGAACCGCACCAACUUGGAUCUUGAGUAAAAGUCUUCGGACUUGUUUUCUUGACUUCAGCCUCGCCUCUUCUUCUCUUCUUCCUCUCUAGUACUCUCCCACAAGCUUUCUCGUCGACCAAAGAGGACCAGAGGCCAAGCUUGCAACACGCCAUACUAAGUCAUUAAAAAUCUUUAUAAAGAAAACUUCUUGGGAUAAAACUUUAAGAAGGGAAAAAGAGUAUAGAUUUCUUGAUGUAGCUAUGGCCUUCGUUUGAAAUUCAGAAUUGGCACCAUCUCCCAAGUGUUUCCAUUCCUUUUAGCCCUUCUUGACUUGAUUUCUCUUCUCAAAAACCUCUUCAUUCCUCCUAUUGCUUUUUUUUGAGAAUUUUCACACAUUCCUCCUCUCCUUUAAACCUUCAUCAUGCGAUUUAAAGAAAAAUUUUAAAGUAUAUGUUGUGGGGUUUUAAGAAACAUAGAUGAAACUUGAGUUUUGCAAAAUGAGAAAAUACUAAAGCAUAAUAGACUCAGGUAAUGAAAUUAAAAAAUGAAAAAUGGGAUACAGUUUAGAGUUUACCCUUUUGAGAUGAAAAGGACUUUGAGGAUUUUGAGAUGCGGUUUUGCUCCAUGAGACAUUGCAUCGAUUUGUCUCUCCAUUUGAGGUUUAUCCUCUUCCAAACUUCUUGACUUGGAUAUGGUUUGACACCGUUAUCUUGACAGCUAUACACACCGUUAUGCUUUGGGGUUGUUCAGAGCGUCCCACCAGCUUUCCUUUCCACUUGAACUUCCACCUUAGCCACCUUGGGGUCCGCCAUCUUCAAGUCAGCCGGGUUAAGACUAGGUUGGGCUUGUCUUGUGGUCUCCAAAGCUUGAUGGUUACUGGUUCAAACUCCAUGCAUUAUGUUGCGCAUCUUCUCAUGGCUUUCUUGAAGCCUUUAGUGUUUGAAUCCAGCCUCAUGACUGUUUCAAAACACUGCACACUCACUAUGCUUUCAUGAGGGAGCAAGCGAACCCAAAUGAAAAAAAAAUACCAUCUCACUGUUUGAAAUUUUGAGUUAUUUAUGAUAGUGAGAGGUUGAGAGAAUAAAGAAUUAGGAGAUUGGUGAAGAAUAGAGAGAAUAGUGGAAGAGAACAGAAUUUAGAGAAUAAUGGAGAAUAGACAUAAUACGCGGAAGCAAAAGAGAAUAGAGAAUAGAGAAUUUCCUCAAGAGUUCAAAUGGACAGAUUUUUGCUCAGUAUUUCCUAAGUUUUGCGGAAGCAAAGAGAGCCAAGAACAACCAAGAACAGCAAGAACUUUGGUGUUUUAAUGGCUUUAAAAAAAAUUACUCACAGAAUAACAUAUGGAGAAGAAUUUUUUGUGAGCUUUAAACAACAAGAGCCAAGAAAUAACACAAGACUUAGUGUUUUCCAUGACUUUAAACAAGAGAAAAAACAGUCUUGAAUAAAAAUGGUGAAAACGAGAUUUGGAACGUUACCAAGAAAGACUGCUCUGAUACCAUGUUGGAAUUUUUGAAAAUGAGAGAAGGAACAAUCAACUUGUGACUGAACCAACACAAAGAACUUGAUAGAACCUCACCAAUUUGAAUGAAACCGAUUGUAUCAAGGAGAGAAAUAAAUCUAUAUGAGACUGAUCCUGAGGAUUAAUUCAACACAAUCAGAGUUUUUAUACUCAAGAGAAGGAUCAGAAUCUGUAAUUAGAUUCAUUAUUAAGAGAGAAAUAACAGCAGAACUAGAAAUUGUUCUUUAGUAGAGAAUGAGAAAAGCAAAUGAAUCACUCUUGAAUUACUUAGGAAAGGACGAACUCAAGAGUGUAUUUGGCUGCUAUAAUGAAUCGAAUACAUGACUAUCUAUACUAAUUCUUUAAACCGCAUAGCCGAAAAUCUCGGAAAAGAUUUUCAGAAUAAUUCCUUUUCGCCUCGUGCAGCCGCCGCCAUAACGCUUUGCCUAGGGUUUUUACAGGCCUUACAUCUUUGCGGCUAGGCCCAUUUGUUGUUGGAGUCUGCUUACUGAAGCAUCAUGCAGUUCGGCCCAACUAAUCGAGGCGCGGCUCGGCCCAUGUCUCACGAUACGGCUCGGCCCACUUACUCCCUCGCAGGGCUCGGCCCAAUCCAACUAAGAUGCGGCUCGGCUCGGCCCAUGUGCGUAGCUCGGUUUUUCCUUUGCGGGCCUUGAUUUUUCCAGGUACUUAAUCAUUUUCAAGAUGGUUAAAAUGUUUGGUGUGAAACUGACCCCAACAGUUAGCCCCCAGCUCGUCAGUUUCGGAGACGAGAGUGACAAGGUUCGUCAUUCUCGGUCACAGAAUUAACCAUCGUGCUAAGGAAUAAAGGAGAGACGAUGCUCUUUGCGGAAUCCUUACACGUUGCUUUCACUGAGGCGUGCCGCGAAGAGUAAUAACGAGGCGUUUGCUCGAUAAUGCCGAGCUGAAACGAGGCGCUUUGUAAAUCGAAGCCGAGCCGUUAAACAUUAACAACGACGAGGCGUUUUGUUUGAUAAUGUUGAGCCGUCGAGGAAUAAUGGCCACGAGGCAUUUCAUGUGUUUAACUGAUGUCAGAACAAGUUUGGUGAUAAUGAUAACGACGAGGCGUUUUCAUCUCAAUGAUACCGAGCCGUGUAUAGUGAUAACAACGAGGCGUUUUCAUCGCGAUGAUUCUGAGCCAUGUAUAGUGAUAACGACGAGGCGUUUAUCAAAUAUUGGGGGGGGGGGGCUCAGCCGUAUCUGUUGCGCUCUUUCAUGAUAAUCCGAGGCGCGUGUGUUGAACGCACUCUGUUACUGGUACAUCUCUUAAGGAGGCUGUUUGCAGAUUCCAAGCGCCGUAUUUAUGACUUCGCUGAUCUCCAAGGUUCAUGUGGACCCCAUGCAAUUUGGUACUUCUAUAUAAGGGGUCUUUCGCUCUCAUUCUCUUCAUAACUUCAGACCAAGUUCACAAAGGUAGCUCUCCCUUCUUUCUUCUUUCUCUCUCUAGUUUUUUUUCCCGGCUAGGGUUUUGAGGUCUCCGCCGCCGCCGAUCGCUUUUUUCCGACAAGCCUUGCCGCGAAGUAUCUUCUGUAGCUUCUGUAUUGUUUUGUUAAUUAUGUCGACCGUUCUCAGGAUUCGCUAGAUUCUCUCUUUCAUUACGAGUUGUUCCAUGCGAACGCCGAGACGAUAGAUGCGACGGGGUCAUGUAGUUCAAAGUGUCCUGAGGCGUCCUCUUCGGUGAAUCCUUAUCCUGUUCAUCCAAUAGAAGACGAGGCGUCUGACUCGACGACCCAUUCCUGUGACCGCUCUGUAAAUAACAAGGCGUCCGCUUCUACGAGUUCUUCCCGGGUUCCUGUACAAAACGAGGCCGUAGACUUUGUCGAGGUGAAAGCCGAGGAGGAAAUUUUUUCUUUCGAUCCGGUCGAAGCAAAAUUCGAGCUAGAGCGUGUCAUGGCGAGCCGAGGUGCUUCCUCUUCGGGGAAGAAGAACGUCCGCCGAGGGAAAUGGCAAAGAUCCGAUCUUCCCGGUUCUACUCUCUCAUCCCCUGAAUCUCUCGAGGUGUUACAAAACCGCUUCAGAAUCUCCGAGGCAGUAGAAUUCAUUGUCCCGGGGAAGACGGACCGAGACGACCGUCUUCCCGCGAAUCACUUCACCGUAUACGAAGCGUUAUUUGACUUGUGCUUUCUCUGGUUUCCAAUUCCCAAGGCUAUCCUUGAAUAUUUAUGGAAACAUGAGAUCUCGUUCGGGAAAAUCAUGCCGAGGGGUUUACGACAUAUGGUCGGCAUUCUUGUUUUGGAGUUUUGAAUGUGGGGUUGAUGUCGAGCUGAAUCACCUGCUGAACUUGUUGGAAAUUCGCAAGGCCCCGGGGCGGGGGGGAAUAAAUUUUACAUCUCCAGCAAGUCGAAAAGUCAGAUUAUCAAUGGUUUCCCGAGCAAAGAUAGUUUAUGGACCGAGUACUUCUUUUACAUUCAAGUGAACAAGGCGUUGGUGGGCGAAGGCUUUAUCUACAUGGUCAAAACAGAUUGGGGACCACUUGGUAGCCGACCCGAAGCCUUGCUUUGGCUCGGAGCUUUUCGAAGAUUUUCUUUCAUUUUUACGACUCACUUUUAUUUUGUUUUCUUAUGCAGUUCGGAAUUUUCUCCCUCUAAAUCCAGAAGAUCUGUUUACAAUUCAAGACGCCUUAGCCGAUAGAAAGUUCAACAGGAAACGCCACUUCUCUGACGAAAGAGUGGAGAGAGCUCGUUCCAUCCUAGCUAAGGUUCCAGUUAACUCAGAAUCUUCUGAGUCUUUAGAUGAUACGAGAAAGAAGAUGGUUCUGAUCACCCUGAGAGAACGAAAGAGGAGGGAGGCCGAGGAGGCUGUAAGGCGAGCGGCGGAGGCUUCUAAGCAGGACAAAGAAAACACCGAGAAGACCGGUGAGACCGCCAAACCCGACGAGGAGGUGUUGGCUUGGGACGAGCCGGCGGAUUCUAAGGAGAGAGGCGACAAGGCGAUUGUUUCUGGCUCGAACGCAGCCAAGUAGGGUGAUGUUGAACAGGGAGAGAUUGUCCCCGAGGCAUCCACCAGAACGCCGAGCAUGUCGAGGGAUCCUUCUACGCCUCUUGCGUCGGCAUUGCUCGCGCUUCCCCAACCGACGAGGCCCGAUGCUUCUAACCUCGUGAAACACGAGGCAAUGAAACGCGGACGAUCUGCAGAGGAGAAAGCCAAAGGAGUAGCUGAUGGGCUUGCUGGCCUAGGGUUUGUUUUUAACAAGUCCUUUGGUCCUCAAAAAGUUUUAAAUUUAUAAAACCCUAGUGUCUGCAAGUGCACAGAUGUACGUUGUAGGACUUAGGGUGUCGAUCCACAGGGAGGAUGUCUAAUCUGUGAGAAACAACAAACUGGGAAAGUAAGCAAAGUCAUAAACUCAUGGGAUUUGGGGUUUUUGGUUAAGAAUCCUAAACUAAACCAAAUAUAAUAUUCACAAGAAUUAAGAUGCAAUGCAAGAUCAAUUGUUAAAAGAAUAUCUCAAGCAUAUCGACUCAAACUAUAGACUCAAAAACUCAUAGGUGGUGAUUUAGACUCCUCCGGUUUACUCUAAUUGAUGUAUGCUGGCAUUUCCAAUUAACUUCCGGGUGAUUUAUCUUCAUCUGUUUCUGGGAUCUGCAUGGAACUAGAAUAGACAUGUGUACGAUUAACCAACUCUCGCCAUCUUAAUCAAUUAAUCACUCAGAUAUGACAAUUAACUCUCGCUCUCAUGUCAAAAAUAAGAUCAUGGAUUAGAAAUUGAAUUCGUCUGCUCACAUCUUCUCUAUAGGUAGUUCUCGACUUCUAUAGUGACUAUGUUCUUCUAAAGCUAGGUAUGGAUGAUCUGAUACAUCAUUCUUGUGGCUCUGAUCGAUCCUAGGCUCAGAGAAUAGGUCAUGAAUCUACUCUCAUGCAAUAUGAACAACUUAGAAGAGAUGAGAUCAAGAAUAUGGUUUAGAAACUUAGAAGUCCUAAUCGAUUAUCGAAAUCUUCAAACAAAUUGACUCUCUGGAACAAAUCUACAUGAUGCAAGGAAUGAUAAAAGACAUAGAAGAAUGAAAAAGAAUGAAACAGGAAAGUUAAUAGGAUAAAAAGGAGAAAGUACAAUGGAUCUGGGGAAGAAUCCCCAUCUCCAUCGCCUAACCCUAGAAAAACAAAGUUUGGUGGCUCAAAAUCUCUUUAUAAAAGCACACACCCGUUUAGAACUACUAAGAAAUGUAUUUAUAGGUCAUAGGGUCUUCUAGGUCUCAUUUAGGGCUACUCUGAAGAGGAAUGGCAAAGUGGCAUUUGAUGUUGGGCCUUGUGGCUCGUCCUUAGGUCAACCGGGGGUGAGAGUCUUCCAGGGCAGGUAAAAUUUAGUUUUCCUGUGGGUGAAAGUCUUCUGGGGCCGGUGAAUUAGGUCAACUUGUUCUCCAUGUAUCUUGUGAUUGCACCGCGAUGUAAAGUGCUAUGAAAAUCUGGUUGUCUCCUCUUGAUUGUCUCCAAAUUUGAGCUGGAUCAGAAGGUGAGAAAGUCUUUAUUUGAGGCUGAACUUCUGACGGUCUGACUCUGAGCUGAAAAAGUGGAUCUCUUCCAUUUUGCCAUCAUUUUCCCUAAAUUUUCUGAAAAGAGCCUUGAAACUACAAAUACAUGGAAAUCAUAAUAAAAGUUCUUAAAACUGAUUAAAACCUUUGAAAAAACAUUUGAAAUCAAUGGUGAAAAUGGGUACAAAUACGUUGUUAUCAGUACCUUUGACAAGGACGAGAUCCAGAAGAACAAGCAGAAGGUGUUCCCCAAAAAGCUUGUUGUCAAUGAUGCCGAGGCUUCGGCGUCUCUUUUCUCGAAGAUCAACAAUGACAACGUUGUCCUGCCGCGCCCCGAGAAGCUUAGACGGUUGAAGUUCUAUGUCGCAAUGCACAGCGCGGGACCAAGGUAUGGUUCCCUGUUUAAUCUUUAACACUCUCUUGCAUUAAAACUCGAUUUUGAUCUUCCGUCUUUCUUAAUUUUAUGCCGCAGUGAAUGAUAUGAUGGCCGGCUAUGAGGCUGACGCACUUAAAGACGAGCGUCACUUUGAACAGGCUAGACCUGACGCCGCGACUUUUAAGGACGAGCUAGAGAAGGCCUCAGGGGAGAAUGCGAAAGCGUUAGCCCAGAUCGAGGCACUCGAGGAAGAGAAAAAAGUCUUGAAGGCGGACUGUGACAAGAUAGGCACCCGUUAUGAGGAAUCGCGGGUAAGGAAGAACAGCGAAAUCACUUCCCUGAAGAGGCAGAACGCGGCAAAAGACUCUCUUCUUGAGUCACGGGUAAAGAUUGCCUAAAAGGAGGCCAGACGUGAGGCGGUGGCUAAGGCGCGACUAUCCGAGAUUGAGAAGAAAAUGGCAGAGCUGGAAAGGCUAAAGGAGAUGAAAAUGUCAUUGGCCAAAUUGAUAACACCGUAUUUUGACCACUUUUAUGGAUCGUUUUGAAAUACUUUUUCUAUGUUUUUAAUUGUUUUUAAGUACUUUUAUUACAUUUUUCUAGUAUUUGUAGUUUCAAGACUCUUUUCAGGUAACUUAGGGAAAAGCUUAACAAAAUGGAUAGAAAACCAUAUUUCAGCUCAGAGUCAAACCGUCAGAAGUUCACCCCUGAUUGAAGGCCUUCUCACCGUCUGAUCCAUCUCAAAGUUGGAGACCUUAAAGAUGGAAGUAUCAGCUUUCCAGUGCACUUUACAGCUUGGCAAUCCAACGGUUCAAUCAAAAGAUACGCGAAGAGCAAGAUGUCCCGUAAACCAGCCGGCAAGCACUUCCACCCGCGGCCAACAAGCAUUUUCCCGCGGUCAGGAGCAUCCCGACCGUGGCAAACCACUCAUCCACCGCGGUCACACUUGUCCCGACCGCGGCCUUCAACCUCAGAGCCCAAAAAGCCCAUUUCUGAAGCCCACAUUUGGAGAAACCCUAAGUGACGUCCAGAGAGGUCUUGAGCACUAUAAAUACAUGUCUUAGGAGCCCUAGAAAGGGUGGAACCGAAUACCAUCUAUCAUUACUUCAUACUUUAUUGUUUUUGCUUUAGAUUUUAGGGAGAGAGAGAUUUGUUCUCUUGAACCCUUGUUCUUUCUUUAUCAAUUUCGGUUUCUAUUCUAAUUCUUAAUAUUAUGUCUUUGAUUUCGUUCAUUAUGUCUGAGUAGUUUUAUUGUUGGGAUUAAGGGAUUUUCGAUGGGGAUAUAUAUGUUCGGUGAGGAUUCCAUUGGCUAUUGAGCUGAAUCUUAGAACUUUUUCUUCUGAAUUCGUUUUUACUGCAUGAGAGUAGCGCCAUGAACUACAAUCUGAUCCAGAUGCUUGGUGACACGAAAGUGUUCAUCAGGUAUCAGAUGUAGUUUGGGAGAGAAAAACAAAAAUAGGAGUGGAAACCUACCUAUGGGCGAUUUGUGAAUUAGGACGAGUCUUAAACAUAAUGCAUCUCUUCUCUUCCAGGGCCAGAGUGGAAACCUACUGGUCAGGCUUGAGAGAGAUAGUUGUCUAUGAUCACGACAGUGGCGUAUUCAUAUGUCCGUGACUCCAGUUCGAAAAGUUUAAGCUAAGAUCUUACAAAAUUUACUCUCUAGCAAUGUUUUGAAUCGUUCAUACCCCUGAGAAAACUUCCCUGAACCCCAACGCUUUCUUCUCCAUUGAUUUACACCGAUUUUCUUUCAAGCUUUAGUUCAAUAUUGUCUUUCCUUUUUAGUUCAUUUUCAUUUAAGCAUUAGAAUAUCCAUUUUUAUCAUUUUUAGUCAUUUUCGUUAAGUUUAGUUAUUACGCCAUUUAAUUUCCGUAUUCUCUUUUAAGAUUUCGUUUUUAGAUUUUAAACACACUACCAAACCCCCACUAAACCGUUUUUGUUCUAGACUUCCUUACUUUAACUUAUUUCAAAGGCUUUUUGCAGGAAAAUAUCCUCCUUCCCUGUGGAUUCGAUCCCUAAGUACUACAAUCGAUCAGCUGUGCACUUGCGGCUAUUGAUUUCAAUUAGGGUAAAACUUGACACCCACAACACACCAUCAUCAAGUUUUUGGCGCCAUUGCCGGGGAAGGCACGCGUUUUCUUUUCUGCAAAACCCCGAGAAAGGUUAGUAAAUCGACUCUAGAACCCCCUUUUCUGCAACUUUCCAUUUUUCGGUUAUUUUGUUUCCAUUUCAGAAGAUAUGGAUCCUAUAAAUCGAAAUAUACACUAUGAGAAAGGUUUCUAUAACACUCCUCAAGCCACUCAACGCCGAGAAGCACAAUACAUUCGUGAUCUCUCCUCAAUGGAUCAGAAUUCAACUCCGAACCACCACAAAAGAGGACAUCGCAGCCACUACAAAUCAAUUCGCGAAGGUUUAGAGGAAAAAGGAUUCUGCUGGGAGACCAUAACAACUUACAAUACCCACGAAGAUAUCCAUGAUCGUCUCUUUGAUGUAGAUAUGUCGUCUGUCUCCCAAACCGAGAUCGAUGAUAUGCUUCAGGAGCUCAAUGAAUCUAUGGAUGAUGGGUAUUGGGUAUCUUGUGAAGUAGAUGGAGAAUCCUCCAUCAAGUUUGUUAGAAAGAGGCCAUCAAAUGAAAUUCCUUAGGAUCAUCAUGUCAUGGAAGCCAGCUAUCAAGAAAAAGGAGAACCUCUUUCCAUCCUUAGUGACGAUCUCGUCUCUACCGAUUCAUUCAAGUGUUUUGGAGAUGACAAACAAGAUCAUAAGUCCCUUCCUCUUGAUGAACCAAAGCCUUGUUCUCCUUCAGCUCCUCACCAUCUUGAAUGUAAGACAGACCACGUGGAAGAUAAGACACUAAUGGUGACAUCAAAAUCACCAUUGGAGGCGCUUUCUAAGACGAAGGAUUCCGAGAAGUUUGAUGCCCCAUUCUCAAUCAAGGAAGUGAAAUUUCGUGAUUCUCGUUGUGAAUCUGGACCUGGUGUGAAUCUCAUACCAAAGACCAUUGCAGAGAAUACAGGUAUUUCGAUUUUUCAUCCCUCAAAGAUUGAUAUUCACUAUGGAGAUUUUUCUGGUGCAGCUCUACUUGGUUCCAAACCAAAAUUGCCUUUUCAAGGGAAAGGUUGUCUUGUUUCUACUGGUUCCCAUGCUAUGGAGAUGAGAAACAAUGCAACAAAACCCUUGAUACUUGGUAUUUCGUGUCUAGCAUAUGUUGGAACACUCAUCAACUACCUGCAUCAACAUAUGAGUUUCCAGAAGAUCAACAAGAAAACCCCAUACCCGGUGAUUACUACAAGGAACUCUCAUUAUCUGAAAAUAGGAGGCGUAGAUGAUCCAAUAUUUGACCCUGGAGGAACUACAAAGGAUGUUGGAUACGUUCUAGAAAGAAGAGCACCCAAAGAAAACGCUGGAUUUACAAACUUGAUGAACAAAGGUACUUCCUUACGUAUAUCUUUAACUAAUGCUCAUAUAAGAGGUGAUGAAGACUUAAUUGAAACGAGAGUGAAGCUUAAAUGGCUCUCAAGACUCUUUUCCAAAGACUCCCCACAAGGAAAAAGAAUUGGAGACAAUAUGCAAGAGGAUCUGGACACCUUUUCUCGGAAAUUCACCACCGCGGUCGCGUGUGCGCUACCAGCGGCCAAACCACCUUUCCCCGCGGUCGCGUGUGCGUUACCAGCGGCCAAACCACCUUUCACCGCGGUCGCGACACUUCCACCAGCGGCCAAUGCUCUUUUUACCAAUUCUCCAACAGUUCAAGCCAUGGCGACACCUCUCCAAGCAAACUGUCCUCACCUUGGAUGCUUAACCAUCUCCACCACUUCAGAUCAUAAAGAAUCAUCUGUCCUUGUAUCUUGCAACAUGGUUCAAUGUCAUGAAGUGAGAGAGACCUUAUUCACCCCAUCAUACAAGCAUCUAAGACGUUCUCCUGUCACAAGUGGUGUUGAAGACUCAUACCUCAAAGAAGUUCCAAGACUGAUUUUUGAUCCUGGAGGAGACUACCAUCUCGAACCUGCUAGGCAAAGCAAGGAGAUGUCAAAAAAGACUUGUCUCAGGACAAGGUCCUCUUCAUUGGAAUAAGUCACGUCCAACACCAAAAGUCGAGCUAAACGACUUAAAACAGAAGCGCUUAAUGGGAGGCAACCCAUUUAGGUAUUGUUUUCUUUAGGAUUUUUCUUUCUUUUUCUUUUGAUCUUUUUCUUUUUCUUAGUUUCAAGUGUUUCUUAUAAAACAAAAAAAGCCAAAAAAAUCAAAAAAAUCCGAAAAAACCAAAAAGAAGGAUGGUACCUGACUGCUCGGCCCAGCAGGAACCAAGGAGAAGCAGGAAGAGGCCGCGAUAUAAGCCCCCGCGGUCGCAGACGUUCUGACCGCGGGAAACCUACCGUCGGCCGCGGUCGCAUAGUCCUGACCGCGGCCAAGUGCUUGAUUGCCGCGGUCGUGCAGCCCCUGACCGCGGCACUUGGUCGUUGACAUCCAAGCCCGACCCAAACCACCCACUUCACCCCAUUCCACCUCACCAAUCACCCUCCACCUCAUUCAUCACCUUCCACCACCUUCAUCACCACAUAAUCACCUUCCCAAACCACUUCGAAUGAAUCCGGUUCAUCUCCACCAUCAUCCCGGAUCCAGGUAAGUUCUCUUUGUUCUUACCAAUUCGAUUAUCUAUGCAUUUUUCUCAUCCAAUCUCGACUUGUUUCACACUGAGGACAGUGUGAUUUAAGUCUGGGGGAGGAUUUCAUCCCUUUCUAACCACUUUUCUUUCAUGAGUCUUGCAUUAUCUACACUUUUUGCAUUUUCUUUAAAGUUUUUCAAAAUCGGUUUUCAAAACAAAAUACGUUUAAAAGGGAAUGGUGAACAUGAAUCAAUGAUAGUUGACUGUGUGCUUUAGACUGUUCCUAGUGACAUGCUCAUUCAUGAUUUAAGACUAGACUAGGCGGUAGCUAAGCACAUUUGAAACGAAGUACCCCAGAGGAAUUUGAAGGAUUUUGAUUUAGAUGAAGGGAUACACUAGCUCUGUUUUAUUUGGACUUAAUUUGGAGUUAAUUUUCUCAUUGAAGCAUUAGACCAGGGAAACGAAUCAUACAUUCAGGACUCCUUUAUCCUUUUACCACUCUCUGUUGAUCCUGAAUGGCUAGUUCAUCUUUAGCUAGUUCCCCACCUUAACCAAUCCUCUUUCAAACAACAUGCACUCUUGUUUUCUAUUAUCUUAUAUGCAGAUAAGUGCAAAAACGUUGGAGAGAAAGAGGAACGACGCAGUUUUCAGUCACCAAGGACAGAGACAUGUGAUUUUCCGGAAAUGUUCCCGGAAGGAUUCAACACAAGUUGAAGCUCAGUUUGCCUUAGAAAAAUCUCAAAUUUUGGUACAAUCUCGUCCUCUAGUCUCUCUCUCUUUAAAAGGCAUUUCCUUUCCAAAAAAAAAAAAAAGUUCCGAAAAUAAGAAAAGAAAGGAGAUAAAAGCCUUAGAGAGUCUAGAGAGGUCGAAUUUUAAGUCCCAAGGCAACUGGAGUUCGAUUUUAUGGAGUUUUGGAGAUUCUUUUCUGAUUCCCGGAAAAAAAAUCUAAGUCUGGGGGAACAGCUGUUUACCACAAAGGAGGAAGGAUUAUGCAACAACAUUUGGCAAGAAGAAAUGAUUGAAAACUGUGGUCAUGAACAGGUCUUAUCUCUCUUGCGGUUUUGCAUAUUAUCUUGCAUCCUCCAGAUCUUCAGGUAACCCGAAACACUUUAACUCCACCACUUAAAUAGCCCUUGAAUGCCAAACGCCGUCUACCUUGGAUGAUGUCUUUAAUGAGAACUCACUAUUGAACUUAAUGAAUGUAGAGAGCUAGUUGACUGAAAUCAAGAUUUAAAUUAUUUAAGUUUUGCAUGACGGAAAAAGUGGACUAGUAUCUCUUGUGCUUUGGUGAGAAUUUUCUAGACUAAGUUGUGGAUUGAUACACUAUCUUUGGUCCUAGUUUAGAGUUCAUGUCUAUGAGAUUUGUGCAUUCCCUAUUUUUGUUUUCACUUAACCAGUUUAGGCUUUUGCUUUGUUUGAGGACAAACAAAGGUUUAAGUCUAGGGGAGUUGAUAACACUAUCUUUGGUUCUAGUUUAGAGUUCAUGUCUAUGAGAUCGUUUUGAAAUACUUUUUCUAUGUUUUUAAUUGCUUUUAAGUACUUUUAUUACAUUUUUCUAGUAUUUGUAGUUUCAAAACUCUUUUCAGGUAACUUAGGGAAAAGCUUAACAAAAUGGAUAGAAAACUAUAUUUCAGCUCAGAGUCAAACCGUCAGAAGUUCACCCCUGAUUGAAGGCCUUCUCACCGUCUGAUCCAGCUCAAAUUUGGAGACCUUAAAGAUGGAAGUAUCAGCUUUCCAGUGCACUUUACAGCUUGGCAAUCCAACGGUUCAAUCAAAAGAUACGCGAAGAGCAAGAUGUCCCGUAAACCAGCCGGCAAGCACUUCCACCCGCGGCCAACAAGCAUUUUCCCGCGGUCAGGAGCAUCCCGACCGCGGCAAACCACUCAUCCACCGCGGUCACACUUGUCCCGACCGCGGCCUUCAACCUCCGAGCUCAAAAAGCCCAUUUCUGAAGCCCACAUUUGAAGAAACCCUAAGUGACGUCCAGAGAGGUCUUGAGCACUAUAAAUACAUGUCUUAGGAGCCCUAGAAAGUGUGGAACCGAAUACCAUCUAUCAUUACUUCAUACUUUUAUUGUUUUUGCUUUAGAUUUUAGGGAGAGAGAGAUUUGUUCUCUUGAACCCUUGUUCUUUCUUUAUCAAUUUCGGUUUCUAUUCUACUUCUUAAUAUUAUGUCUUUGAUUUCGUUCAUUAUGUCUGAGUAGUGUUAUUGUUGGGAUUAAGGGAUUUUCGAUGGGGAUAUAUAUGUUUGGUGAGGAUUCCAUUGGCUAUUGAGCUGAAUCUUAGAACUUUUUCUUCUGAAUUCGUUUUUACUGUAUGAGAGUAGCGUCAUGAACUACAAUCUGAUCCAGAUGCUUGGUUACACGAAAGUGUUCAUCAGGUAUCAGAUCUAGUCUGGGAGAGCAAAACAAACAUAGGAGUGGAAACCUACCUAUGGGCGAUUUGUGAAUUAGGACGAGUCUUAAACAUAAUGCAUCUCUUCUCUUCCAGGGCCAGAGUGGAAACCUACUGGUCAGGGUUGAGAGAGAUAGUUGUCUAUGAUCACAACAGUGGCGUAUUCAUACGUCCGUGACUCCAGUUCGAAAAGUUUAAGCUAAGAUCUUACAAAAUUUACUCUCUAGCAAUGUUUUGAAUCGUUCGUACCCCUGAGAAAACUUCCCUGAACCCCAACGCUUUCUUCUCCAUUGAUUUACACCGAUUUUCUUUCAAGCUUUAGUUCAAUAUUGUCUUUCCUUUUUAGUUCAUUUUCAUUUAAGCAUUAGAAUAUCCGUUUUUAUCAUUUUUAGUCAUUUUCGUUAAGUUUAGUUAUUACGCCAUUUAAUUUCCGUAUUCUCUUUUAAGAUUUCGUUUUUAGAUUUUAAACACACUACCAAACCCCUACUAAACCGUUUUUGUUCUAGACUUCCUUACUUUAACUUAUUUCAAAGGCUUUUUGCAGGAAAAGAUCCUCCUUCCCUAUGGAUUCGAUCCCUAAGUACUACAAUCGAUCAGUUGUGCACUUGCGGCUAUUGAUUUCAAUUAGGGUAAAACUUGACACCCACAACACACCAUCAUCACAAAUCAGGAGCAAUCUCGUGUUCAUCGGCAAUAUCUGGAAACCGGAUGCCAGUCUCGACGCCGAAGAGGAGAAAUUGAAGAGCUGGGAAGCCAAGCUAAUUAGAGCCAAGGAAACGUUUAAGCGUGCCAUGACGGACCUAAGGGAUAAGUUAGUCGUUUUGCCGGUUUCCCUGGAUUCUGUUGACUCUUGUCUGGAAAACGAGCCGCCGGAGGUUACUGCCGCUUCGAUUGGAGUCACGGAUCCGACGGGUUCCAACAUCAAAACCCCGAGGGCUAGUGAUCUCGCAGCUGAGGGCAUCUCUGACCGAGAGGGAUAAUUUUUGUGUCCUCGCUUAUGUACUGAAUCAUAUUUUUUUUGUGUCUGGAUGGCUUUAUCCAUACUUAUUGGCUUGUUUGUUUCUGUUUCUGAACCUUGUGCAUGGACGGCUUUAUCCACCUUCUUUUGUUUGCUGAACUCUUGAGAGACUUAUCUGAUAAUGGUUUUACUUAUAUUUCUCGUGUUUGGAUAGUCUUUCGGUUUCUGCCGAGCUGUUUCGAGCAAUAGUAAUGAGGCGUUGUCACUAAGUGACGAACUGUUUUAGGUUAAGAUUCUUUAACGACGAGAUAAGGAUUAAACGCCUCAUUUUUUCUGAGUUGUGGUGUGUAACAUGUCCGAGCUGGUAAGUAUGCUUUUUUUGGAGCUUAGAAUCAUCUUCGGUCUUGAUGAUUUUGUAGUUACUACAACUUGUUUAUCCCUUUUUGCGAGGAAUACUGAUAUUUAUGUGAUAUUGACUGUUUUUAUCGAGGCGUUUAAGCCACAAGUUAUAUUAUGCUGAAGCGUUUUUCAGGCAGGGGACAUAUAUUAUGAGGAAGGGUUAGGCUUUGUUGCCGAGGUGUUUAACUUGGGCCGGUUUUUGCUUACCGAGGUGUUAGACUUGAAUUUCUCAUUGCCGAGGUCAAAAUCCAGAGGGAUAGUGUCAGAGUACGACUAUAGACCGGCGUUCCCGAGAGAGUGAGUGUGUUUUGUCGGGUAUUAAGAGUUCACUUCGGUUUUAAAGAAAACGAUGCCGUCUCAACUUAUAAUAUCGUGUGCGAUAGUGAGCUGUGGCGACCGAUACGUUGUUGGUCUGAAAUAUGUAUAGCGCGCAAAUUUUUAUUAGUAGAGGAUGUAACUUGCAUUCUUGUCCUAGGAAAGGUGGUAAAAGUCUGUUUAGAGAACUUUGUAUUUGUAGUCUCGUUGUGGCUAGCAACGAGACGAGGUGUUUGGUGUUUGGAUACCGAAGUGAAAUAGUAACAAGCAAGAAUUUUGCCAAAGCAAUGUGUGAUCAAUAAAGCAAUUUGUGAGACAAGUAAAAGCCUAGUCGACGUAAAACAAGUGAAUAAGAGACUCGACAAAGUGAAAAUAAACUUAGAGAUAGCUGACUCGACGAGCUAAGUAUUUAUGUAUAUGUACCCACUUCCAAGGACGGGAUGCCUACGUAUCCUUUGCAGGAAUAAACCAGUCCUAUAGUUCAUGUAAGUUGUUGUGUAUUCUUAGUGAUAAUACUUCUUCAGGUGCAUGGCGUUCCACAAUCUCUGAAUCGCUUCGUCAGCCGUUGUUGCGAGUUCAUAGACUCCUAGACGAACCACUUUUGUGAUCUUGUAGGGGUCUUCCCAAUUUAUUCCGAGCUUUCCUGCAUUCCUUUCGGUAAUGUUUUGGAAUAUCUUUCUAAGGACGAGCUCCCCUUCUUGAAAUCUUUGGCUUCAGACAUUUUUGUUGUAAUAUCUCGCCGUUACUUGUUGGUAGUUCUGGACUCGGAUUAAGGCCUGGUCGCGCCUUUCGUUGCCUAGAUCGAGCUCGUCCAACAUCAUCAGGUAAUUCAAACCUUCUUGUCCUGGCAAAAGUCUUCGUCGAAUUCCAGGGAAAUUCACCUCGGGAGGGAUCACACAUUCUGUUCCAUAAACAAAGGCGCAUGGGUUUCUACAGUGGUUCGGCAUGGAGUUGUUCGAUGUGACCAAAGGAUUCCUUCCAGUUCGUGCCCAUCGUUAUCUCUUUUUUAACCCGUCCAAGAUUGUUUUAUUAGCUGCUUUGGCUAGUCCAUUCCCUUGGGGAUAUCUCGGCGUGGAUUUACUUAGGCGAAUUUUCCACUUCUCGCAGAAAGUUUCAAAGCGAGUUGAGAUGAACUGAGAUCCAUUGUCGGUGACUAUCUCGUAGGGAACCCCAUGUCGACAAAUGAUGUUCUUCCAGACGAAGUGUUCGACCUGGGCGUCCUUUAUGCUUGCGUAGGAGUCGACCUCGACCCAUUAGAAGAAGUAGUCUAUAAGAACGAGCAGGAAACGCUUCUGCUUUGACCGGUGUAGGGGUCCGACUAUGUCCAUCGACCAUAUCAUGAAAGGAUAGGGCGACGAAAUUGAGGACAGCAGCUCGGUUGGAUGACCGAUAGUAGGCGCGUACCGCUGACACUUCUCGCACUUUGCUGUAAAUUUCUUGCAGUCCUUGACCAUCGUAGGCCAGAAGUAUCCGUGCCGUUUUAUCUUGAUCGCUAAGGACCUUCCGCUAGAAUGAUUGCCAUACGCGCUGCUUGCACCUCGUGCAUUAUUUUCCUUGCUUUGGAUCCUUCGACGCACUUCAUUAGUGGUCCUGCAAACCUCCAUUUGAAUACUUCACCGUCGACGAGGACGUACCGUGCGGCUUGAGCCUUUAGUUUGUGAGCCUCCCAUUUGUCGGAUGGGACUUGUCCAUCGGUGAUGUAGACUCGAAUUGCUCUGAGCCAUUCAUUGUCGCAGUCAUAUUCUUGCUCGGGUGAAGAGGCGUCUUCUUCCAUUGCAGUUGCCUCGUCGUUAUCUGGUUCUUCCUCCGGGAGGUCGAUCAGCCGAACUCCUUCUACUACUUCUAUGCUCGUCCAUUCGAUGAGUUCGACCAGAAUUUUUCUUUAGAUAUCGUGAUCCGAGGUUGAGGCGAGUGCUGCUAAGGCAUCCGCCGAGGUGUUUUCCCCUUGGGGUAUUCAUGUGAGCUUGAACUCGUCGAACUGUUCUAAUAAGUUAUGGACUACUCUGUGGUAUGCUCCCAUUCUUCCAUCAUUCAAUGAUUCGUACUCUACUUCGUUGUUCGAGGCGUGGAAAUUCAGGCGGAAAGACUGCUCCAAGAUUUCUCCUGUUGGCGAGGUAAGGCGAAUUCCUAUUCCCGAGCUGGUUUUGACGACGAGACGUCGACAUGCAGUGUCCAAACUUCAUCCGGAAUCAGCUCGAUUGUUGUCUCGGUUGAGACUUCAAUGAGGAAAUUUGCGAGCACAUGAGAUUUUGCGGAAGACCUAUUCUGAUACUCGAUAUCAUACUCGCUUAGCUUGAUGGCCCAUUUGGCGAGCUGUCCUAACUGGCUCGGGCUAUGCAGAAUUAAGCGCAAUGGAAGGGUUACGAGCACCACAAUCGAAUGUGAUUGAAAAUAGGGACGCAGUUUGCAAGCCGACAUUACGACAGCUAGGGCGACCUUCUCAAUCUCCAGGUAGCGAGUCUCGACAUCGAUUAAUGUCUGACUAACAUAGAAGAUGGGCUUUUGUUCUCCGCACUCCUCUCUUAUUUAUACUCCGCUUACAGCCGUGGCGGAUACGGCGAUGUAAAGGAAAAGCGGUUCUCCUUCUAAUGGUUUCGUCUAGACUGGUGGGCUCGCUAAAUAGUUUUUAACUACUGGAAAGCUGCUUCGCAUUGCUCGUCUCAUUCAAAAACUUCUUAUUCCCACGGAGGAUAUCAUAGAAGGGAGGGCACUUGUCGGUAGACCGUGAGAUAAAUCGGUUUAGCGCAGCGACUCUUCCUGUGAGCCGUUAAACUUCUCGCUUCAUUCUUGGAGAGAACAUCUCGAUACCUCGGUGUGUUACCAAAUGCCGAGGAAUUCUCCCGAGGUUACCGCGAAUCUAUACUUCGCCGGGUUUAGCUUCAUAUUGUGCUCGUUCAGUAGCUGGAAACAAUCUUGUAGAUGUGUGACAUGAUCCUUUUCUUCAAGCGAUUUGACUAGCAUGUCGUCGAUGUACACCUCCAUGGUUUUCCUGAGCUUAGCUGCAAACAUCUUAUUGAUGAGCCGUUGAUAUGUUGCCCCAAAGUUUUUGAGUCCGAACGGCAUGACUUUAUAGCAAUAUAUUCUGCGUUAAGUUAUGAACGCCGUUUUCUCUCUGUCGUCAGGAUGCAUCAAGAUUUGGUUAUAGCGUCCAUGAAUGUCUGCAAGUUGUUUCAUGCCGUAGCAUCGACAAGCCGGGGAAGUCUGUGAAGUCUAUGCAGAUUUGGGCAAGCCUUGUUGAGUCUGUGAAGUCUAUGUAGACUCGCCAUUUGCCGUUUUUCUUCUUCAACACCACUGGGUUUGCGAGCCAGUCCGGAUAUUUUGCCACAGCGAUCGAUCCUACUUUGAGCAGUCUUUCCACUUUGUCGUUGACAGCUUUAGCUCGUUCAGGGCCAAGCUUUCUCCGCUUCUGCUUGAUUAGUUUGAAGGUCGGAUCUACGUUUAACUCGUGACAGGUCACGUUGAUGCUUAUGCCCGGCAUAUGUACCGCACUUCAGGCGAAAGGAAAGGAGUUCGUUCUUCAAGGGCUCUCCUAACUUGGCUUUGAUCUUGACGCACACCGAGUCCACCGCAUCGCAUAUUGGCUUGACGCGUGUCUCGCGGUUCUCCACGAUCUUUAAUUGCUAUAAGAGUUUGGAGAGCUCUCGGUCCGUCUUAAGAUUCUUGCAAUCCACAUCGGCGCCUGCAUCAGUGACGGGAUUCCUUAAUUUGUGCUCCGUCAGGAAACACAUUCGCGACUCUUUUUAAUUUCUCCAAAUCGUCUUGAUGCCUGCUAGAGUCGGGAACAUGAUGCAGAGGUGAUUGGUUGAAGGGAUUUCUCUCAUAGCAUUAAUCCAUGGAGUUCCCAUGAUCAUGGUGUAGAUCGUUGGUUGGUCGGUGACUGAAAAUUCGAUGAUCUUGGUGACUCCUCCAGCUACCACAGGAAGUCUGAUCGUGCCCAUAUUUAUCGUUGUUUCUCCUGAAAAUCCAGUUAGAGGCUUAGGGGUAGCCAUCACCUCGGAGAGGUUGAUUCCCAUUCUUUUGAGUGUCUCCCUGAAGAUAACAUCCACCGAGCUCCCAGUGUCGAUGAGUACUCUUACCACGUCAUAGUCUCUAAUCGUCAGUUCAAUCACCAGUGGAUCAGUGUGCGGCCUAUCUGUUCAUGUCGUUUCCUCCUCGGCAAAAGAGAUCACCGUAUUUGGGAGGUCGGUUGGUUCGGCCCCGUUCUCCUUUGCUUCUGCUCGGCGCUGAUAGGCUUUGAUAGAGGACACCGUGUCUUGGUAAUGUUGGGAUCAACCCAUAAUCAUGUUGAUCCUUUGCCUCGGCUCAGAUCGUUCCUCGGGUUUGCCUCUCCUGUCGCGCUUGGUAUUGUCACCUCUUCGGGUAGAUUUUUUGCUUCUACCGCGCUAUUCGGCUUGGUUCCCUCCUUGGGUUCAGUAGGGGCGAGGUUUUUGAGAUUCACUGCGCUCUAGAGUUCUUCUGCUGUCAUUUUAGCUACAAGCUUCGCUCCCAGAGUUCAGCACUACGCUGUUAAAUGCCGUGGGUUUGGUGAUAUUCGCAAAACGCUUUUUCGUCGUAGUUGGUAGGCCUCCUCACCCAAAUGUUGUUAUGUGGCUCACCUCUUCCGUGGCCAGCACCUACUUGGUAACUGUGGGCGCCUCCGCUCCUUGGUUCUUCCAAAUUCUGAAUCGUUGUACUAUUCGAGGGAUGACCUUUCCUUGAGGGGUGCGUCAGGAUCGAACUCCGGAUUGCUGCUUUUGUUGUUUCGUACUAUUCGUCCAGAUUUUUCUUCUCUUCUUCGUUUAUGACAAAGUCUGAUGAUCGAUGUAAGGCAUCCUGAAUUGUCUGCGGUGUGUUGAGCACCAUCUCCCAUCGAAAUUUGGAUUUGUACCAUAAAGAUCCCUUCAAUGCUUCAAGUGCAGCCUUGUCUCUUAUUCCUUCUAUUUUGAACACGACCGCUUUGAAUCUUGCCAUGUAAUCUCAAAGUGGCUCGUUCGAUCAUUGGGAUAACGUCCAUAUGUCAGCGUCAGAAGUUCCUCGGUCCAGGAACAUUGAGUACUGCUUCAUGAACAUUGGGAGAGCUGCUGAAAACCGUUGAUCGAGUUGUGCUCCUGCCUUGAAAACCAUUCCAGUGCGGUUCCUUGAGAUGAUCUACGAAGAGCAGAUAGUAACCGGCAUCCUUUUCCUGCUCGGUCAGAUUGGCGGCGUUCUUUGUGAAGGCUCGUCCCAUUGCUAUGCGAAUGCUGUGAUAUGCGCCUUCGGGUCGGUCAUACCUUCAUAAAUCGGGAUUGUGGCAUUCCCCGGUUCAGAAAUCCUAGCCUCCGUUAUUCUUGCCAUGAACGGGGUUCUUUGAGUUUCUUCGAGCAUUCGAUCAAUUUCCGGUGCGACACUUAUCGCGUUAUGCACUUGAGACUUUAUGGCGCGUAUCUCUGCCACUUUCCAAGCCAUUGAGGCUCGCAACUCUUCCAUCUCCGAGGUUUGCGCGCGUGUCAUUCUCCUAGGUGGGAGAGGUCGCUCCUAGUCUUCUCUCCUCGGCGCGUCUCCGUACUCCGCCGGCUCGACCCAUUGGAGGUUCUCCUCUUUUUUAAGUUGGAUCGUUAUAGUGAUUUGGAUCGGUGACUCUGUCAGUUUGGAUGCUAUUAAGCGCCGAGGCGAGCUCUUCUUGACUUAUCUGCCGAGCCGAGCCAUUUUGCUGCGAGUUUCUGGUUCCGUCACUCUGCUGGGAGUCCACGUCGAUCACGUCGUUUUCCUCCUCAUCACCUCUCCGUCUUGAAUUCUGACAAAGCGGGGGUGGCUCGGUCAUGUUGACUCAGGUUGCUGCUGGAGUUCGUUCGCCGAGGGGACGAAACAUUCGUGGAGCCAUGGGAUUUCUUAUGCCGCUACCGGAUGCUCCUGCAGGUGUCGAGAAGUCGAAGCGCUUCCUGACUCCAUCUAUUGGAUCGGAGAUCCUAGCUCUCCAAGUCGGAUGCUGUCUUUCAGCCGUUAUUGCGUCGAGUCUCUCCGUGAUCGCUUCGUUCCUCUUAUCCUGCUCGUCGAUUUUCUUCAUCAAUGUGGCCAUCAUAUUCUGCAUCUCCUCCUGCGCUUCGGUAGUUGUCGUUGUCGUGCUUGGUGGUGGAGCGUCCUUCUCUGCGCCGUUGUUGUUGUUGUUCUCGUUGUCGGAAGCGUUGCUUGCCAUGAUCUUAUAGUCUUGUCGAUUUUAAAGUAAGAAAUUUUGAUGUCCCUACAGACGGCGCCAAAUUGUGUGAGCCAAAACUCGCACAACCAAAAAUUUGUUAAGGAAAACUUAAGGAAUCCAAAAUUUAUAGGGUUUAUCACAAGAACAGUAAGAUUGAAAGAGGGUUUUUUUUGCUGGAAAAGUGUUUUAGUCUUAUUGCUCUCGAGUCGGUAAAAGUUACAUAAUGAAUCGAUUACAUUGAUUAUUUAUACUCAAUCUUUAAACCGUCUAGCCGAAAAUCUCGGGAAAUAUUUUUGGAAUAUUUAUUUAUCACCUUGUGCGGCCGCUGCCAUAUCGCUUUGUCUAGAGUUUCUAUGUGCCUUACAUCUUCGUGGCUAGGCCCACUAGUUGUUGGAGUCUGCUUACUGAAGCGUCACGCUGUUUGUCCCAACUCAUCGAGGCGCGGCUCGGCCCAUGUCUCACAGUACGACUCGGCCGACUUACUCCCUCUGCAGGGCUCGGUCAAUCCAACUAAGAAGCAGCUCGGCUCGACCUAUGUCUCCUCGUGCGCAGCUCGGUUUUUCCUUUGCGGGGCUCGGUUUUUCCAGGUACCUAGUCAUUUUCGAGAUGGUUAAAAUGUUUGGGGUGAAAUCGACCCCAACAAACUCCACUAAUCUAACUCGUUCAAUCCUUAGACAACACUUCAUUAAUUCAUCCAUAGCCAUUCAGUGUAACUUUAAUCCAUCAUUGGUCUUCUUUGAACCGCACCAACUUGGAUCUUGAGUGAAAGUCUUCGGCCUUGUCUUCUUGACUUCAGCCUCGCCUCUUCUUCUCUUCUUCCUCUCUAAUACUCCCCCGCAAGCUUGGUCGUCGAGACCCCAAAGAGGCCUAGAGGCCAAGCUUCCAACACGCCAUACUACGUCAUUAAAAACCUUCAUAAAGAAAACAUCUUGGGAUAAAACUUAUGAAGGUAAAAAGAGUAUAGUUUAAUGAUUGCUUGAUAUAGCUAUGAACUUGGUUUGAAAUUCAGAAUUGGCACCAUCUUCCAAGUGUUUCCAUUCCUGUUAGCCCAUCUUGACUUGAUUUCUCUUCACAAGAACCUCUUCAUUCCUCCUAUUGCUUCUUUUAAAAUUUUCACACAUUCCUCCUCUCCUUUAAACCUUCAUCAUGAGAUUUAAAUAAAAUUUUUAAAGUAUAUGUUGUGGGGUUUUAAGAAACAUAAAUGAAACUUGUGUUUUGCAAAAGGAGAAAAUACUAAAGCAUAAUGGACUCAGGUAAUGAAAUUAACAAAUCAAAAAUGGGAUACAGUUUAGAGUUUACCCUUUUGAGAUGAAGAGGACUUCGAGGAUUUUGAGAUGCAGUUUUGCUCCAUGAGACAUUGCAUCGAUUUGUCUCUCCAUUUGAGGUUUAUCCUCCUCCGCACUUCUUGACUUGGAUAUGGUUUGACACCACAUCUUGACACCUUGUGGAUUUCCUGAACCCCAUCAGCUAUACACAUACACAAACGCUUUGGGAUUGUUUCAGAGCCUUCCACCAGCUUUCCUCUACACUUGAACUUCCACCUUAGCCACCUUGGGGUCUGUUAUCUUCAGGUCAGCCUCUUUGGUCCGCCAUCAUCAAGUCAGCCGGGUUAAGACUAGAUUGGGCUUGUCUUGUGGUCUCCAAAGCUUGAUGGUUACUGGUUCAAACUCCAAGCAUUAUGUUGGGCGUCUUUUUCAUGGCUUUCUUGAAGCCUUUAGUGUUUGAAUCUAGCCUCAUGACUGUUUCAAAACACUGCACACUCGCUAUGCUUUCAUGAGAGAGAAAGCGAUCCCAAAUGAAAACAAAACACCAUCUCACUGUUUGAAAUUUUAAACAUUUGAAUUAUUUAUGAUAGUGAGAGGUUGAGAGAAUAAAGAAUUAGGAGAUUGGUGAAGAAUAGAGAGAAUAGUGGAAGAAAACAGAAUUUAGAGAAUGGAGGAGAAUAGACAAAAUACGCGGAAGCAAAAUAGAAUGGAGAAUAGAGAAUUUGCUCAAGAGUUCAAAUGGACAGAUUUUUGCUCUGUUUUUCCUAAGUUUUGCGGAAGCAAAGAGAACCAAGAACAACCAAGAACAGCAAGAACUUUGGUGUAUUAAUGGCUUUAAAAAUAAUUACUCACAUUAUCACACAUGGAGAAGAAUUUUCUGUGAGCUUUAAACAACAAGAGCAAAGAAAUAACACAAGACUUAGUGUUUUCCAUGACUUUAAACAAGAGAAAAAAAUUGUCUUGAAUAAAAAUGGUGAAAAACGAGGAAAGUCACUGCUCUGAUACCAUGUUGGAAUUUAUGAAAAUGAGAAAAGGAACAAUCAACUUGCGACAGAACCAACACAAAGAACUUGAUAGAACCUCACCAAGGUGAAUGAAACUGAUUCUAUAAAGGAGAGAAAUAAAUCUAUAUGAGACUUAACCUGAGGAGUAAUACAACACAAUAGAGUUUUUAUACUCAAAAGAAGGAUCAGAAUCAGUAAAUUGAUUCAUUAUUAAGAGAGAAAUAACAAGAGAACUAGAAAUUGUUCUUUAGUAGAGAAUGAGAAAAGCAAAUGAAUCACUCUUGAAUUACUUAGGAAAGGAUGAAUUAAAGAGUGUAUUUGGCUGCUAUAAGCAGCCCUACACGUGUUCUUACUUAGUCUACAUUGUGACUUUAGGACAAGAACACAAGAGAAAAAUAAGAGAGAUAAUAUUGUGUAAAAUACUUGUGUAUAUUAAGAUGAUUCUUGUGACCAUAUUACAGACAUAUAUAUAUAUAGCGAAUUAAACAUGAGAAACCUAGUGUGAACAUUUUAAAAUAUCGUUCUGUAUUACAAGGAAAGACAGAGUCACAUGCUUCUUUAUUUAGUGUUCACACUAUUGAAAGUGACAGCUCACAAACGGUCACAUACGACUAAAGCCACAUGUGAGUCCAGACUCCAAUUCAAAUCGGUUUCCCUUCUCUUCUUGUCACUUAUGGGCUUUGUCUUGCAUACACUGGGCUUUAUUCCUUCUCAUUCUUGCCCUUCUUGGAUAUGGGCCUCGCCCUUCUUGCAGAUGAACCUCAGCCUUGAUCUUCUUGUAGAUGUGCCGAGACUAAGUGAUUGAGUCUCACUAGAAUGUAGAGCUGUACGGUCUCUUAUCAGCCUCUAACGGUCAGAUAUCAAUCCGCAGCUCACCACACAGUCUUGAUCUGUAUGGACGCUUAUCGGUCUUCAGCCUUUAAGCGUCCUACUUCCUGAUCUAUUGAGAACUCCACUUAUCUAACUCCUUCAAUCCUUACACAACACUUCAUUAACUCCUCCAUAGCCUCUCAAUGUAACUUUAAUCCAUCAUUGGUCUUUUUUGAACCGCACCAACUUGGAUCUUGAGUGAAAUUCUUCGGCUUUGUCUUCUUGACUUCGGCCUCACCUCUUCUUCUCUUCUUCCUCUCUAAUACUCCCCCACAAGCUUGGUCGUCGAGACGCUAAAGAGGACCACAGGCCAAGCUUGCAACACGCCAAACUACCUCAUUAAAAAUCUUACUAAAGAAAACCUCUUGCAAUAAAACUUUAUGAAGGGAAAAAGAGUAUAGGUUAACGAUUUCAUGAUGUAGCUAUGGCCUUGGUUUGAAAUUCAGAAUUGGCACCAUCUCCCAAUUGUUUCCAUUCCUUUUAGCCCUUCUUGACUUGAUUUUUCUUUGCAAGAACCUCUUGUUUCGUCCUAUUGCUUCUUUUGAGAAUUUUCACAUAUUCCCCCUUGAUAACACCGUAUUUUGACCACUUUUGUGGAUUGUUUUUAAAUGCUUUUCAAAUGCUUUUUAUUUCUUUUAAGUGUUUUAAGUAUGGUUUCUAGCACUUGCAGAUAUCUAGGGUUAUAAUUUUUAAAACAUGAAGCAGCGAAGUCAACCCUAGCAGCAUCACUCCUCUCCUUUAAACCUUCAUCAUGAGAUUUAAAGAAAACUUUUAUGUUGUGGGGUUUUAUGAAACAUAAAUUAAACUUUGAGUUUUGCAAAAUGAGAAAAUACUAAAGCAUAAUGGACUCAGGUAAUGAAAUAAACAAAUUAAAAAUGGGAUACAGUUUAGAGUUUACACUUUUGAGAUGAAGAGGACUUUGAGGAUUUUGAGAUGCAGUUUUGCUCCAUGAUACAUUACAUCGAUUUGUCUCUCCAUUUGAGGUUUAUCCUCCUCCGCACUUCUUGACUUGGAUAUGGUUUGACACCACAUCUUGACACCUUGUGGAUUUCCUGAACCCGAUCAGCUAUACACAUAUACAAACGCUUUGGGGUUGUUUCAGAGCCUCCCACCAGCUUUCCUCUACACUUGAACUUCCACCUUAGCCACCUUGGGGUCUGUUAUCUUCAGGUCAGCCUCUUUGGUCUGCCAUCUUCAAGUCAUCCGAGUUAAGACUAGAUUGGUCUUGUCUUGUGGCCUCCAAAGCUUGAUGGUUACUGGUUCAAACUCCAAGCAUUAUGUUGGGCGUCUUUUUCAUGGCUUUCUUGAAGCCUUUAGUGUUUGAAUCUAGCCUCAUGACUGUUUCAAAACACUGCACACUCGCUAUGCUUUCAUGAGAGAGAAAGCGAUCCCAAAUGAAAACAAAACACCAUCUCACUGUUUGAAAUUUUAAACAUUUGAAUUAUUUAUGAUAGUGAGAGGUUGAGAGAAUAAAGAAUUAGGAGAUUGGUGAAGAAUAGAGAGAAUAGUGGAAGAAAACAGAAUUUAGAGAAUGGAGGAGAAUAGACAAAAUACGCGGAAGCAAAAUAGAAUGGAGAAUAGAGAAUUUGAAGAGUUCAAAUGGACAGAUUUUUGCUCUAUUUUUCCUAAGUUUUGCUGAAGCAAAGAGAGCCAAGAACAACCAAGACCAGCAAGAACUUUGGUGUUUUAAUGGCUUUAAAAUAAAUUACUCACAUAAUCACACAUGGAGAAGAAUUUCUAUGAGCUUUAAACAACAAGAGACAAGAAAUAACACAAGACUCAGUGUUUUCCAUGACUUUAAACAAGAGAAAAAAACAGACUUGAAUAAAAAUGGUGAAAAACGAGGAAAGUCACCAAGAAAGACUGCACUGAUACCAUGUUGGAAUUUAUGAAAAUGAGAGAAGGAACAAUCAACUUGCGACUGAACCAAUACAAAGAACUUGAUAGAACCUCACCAAAGUGAAUGAAACUGAUUCUAUCAAGGAGAGAAAUAAAUAUAUAUGAGGCUGAACCUGAGGAGUAACACAACACAAUAAGAGUUUUUAUACUCAAAAGAAGGAUAAGAAUCAGUAAUUUGAUUCAUUAUUAAGAGAGAAAUAACAAGAGAACUAGAAAUUGUUCUUUAGUAGAGAAUGAGAAAAGCAAAUGAAUCACUCUCGAAGCCUAUCACUCCGUCGCGGUGGCAUUGGUGUCUGCUCCAUCGGCGGGAGCAGCCGCGUGACUCCCAAAGUUGCUGUGCACUUGCGCCUUGACGAUUUCAAAGGUCUCAGUAGCAUGACGGAUGUUUAUCAGAAGAACAACUGUAAAUCGAAGAGGCUAAUCGGAGAGGCUGGCCGAGAGAUUGACAAUGUCAAGGUGGAUCCGAUUUGUGUUUUUUUUUUAUGUAUACGAGAAAUUAGUAAUUGGUUCAACUUUGGUUUAUGAAAUUAAAAUUUACAAGAAAAAAAAUUGAACAUCGGUUUAGCAAAUUGGGUUUUACAAGAAAUAUAUUGUUAUUUCUGUUCGACAAUGGCAAUUGUAGUAAAUAAAAAAAGCUGCGAUAGAGGCCUCACCGAAACAUAAACAGUAAAAAUUACCCAAUCCUUUAUGUGAUUUAAAAACUAUUCGUUUCUCAAAUUAAAAACUUAAAAACUAUCCAUUCAACAAUUUUCUCUUAGAAAUAUAUAUAUAUAUAUAUAUAUAUAUAUAUAUUAAAACGAUAUUUGUGAGAGUAACAUAGACGAAAUGAGUUGUAGACAAGAGAGAGAGCACAUGGUAAACUUUUCUUAUAUUACAAAUUUUGGCAUUAAAUCUGACUAGUACAUCAGGCUAACUCUAUGCGGUAAAAUGGACUAAAGUAUAGAAAACUAGAGGUAGAAUUGUUCUUAGUAAAGUAGCACAUUGGCCUGAAUAGUAAUUUGUCAAUCAGCUAAUUAUGCGGGAAUCCGUUAUAGAAUAUAAAUUUUCUAAAAUAAAAAGGUCUAAGUUUUUGUUCAUGAGCUGGUAAAGUCGAGAUCAAUAUUCAAGAAUAUAUAUGUCUGGCCGACCCAGUUAAGUUGCCGACAGUUUCACUAAAGCUUUUGAUAGAAAUUUAUUUAAGAUACUUUUUGAACAAACUUAGUCAAAGGUAUUUCAAGAGUAAUUUGUUAAAUAUCUACAGUAUUUCUCUUUGUGUAAACCCUAGAGGAACAAGGUUAUAUUUUUUAUAUGUUCUUAAAUUUUUGUACGUACUUAUCUUACAGAAUUGUAUAUGUCAUACCUUCAAGAAAACAAUAAGAAUCAACGUGCUUGUGAAACAUCUGUACUUAACAAGGGCAUACGUGAUUAACCUUAUAUUUACAUUGUUCUUGUAAACGCAUAUACAUACGUGGGCAGAUAUAUUUACAUACUGGCAUCUUGACAUAUCACAUGAUAUCCAUGACCAGAUAUCUAGUAAAAUGUAAACGACGUGAUUAGUGGAAAAGUUAUCUUUUGAUGAAAUUGUAGUUGCCAAAUAUGAUUUUAAAUAGGCAUUGGUCAUGCUCGAAUAGACGAUAUUAAUAAUUUUAUCUUUAGUAUUAAAAUACAUCUAUAUAAACUUGUUCAGUGUCGCAAAAUUGUCUCCGUACAGAAGUUUAUUUAUUUUUCCCUAAUCAUGAAGAGCUUGAUUUUAAUGACAACACUUCUUGUAGUGCUGCUUUGCGUCAUCUCUCUCCCAAUUUCAACCGUAGCAUUCCCAAAGAAACUAUGGCCUAAGUCAUCAAAACUAGCGGCAAGCCACCACCAUCACAAAGGCUCUGACGGCCUCAGAUACUCCAAGGUUGCUUGGGCUAGCUCUUCUGUCUCAGGGCCUAAUGUACCUUCAUCGCCUUCCAUAUUGCUUCUAAGGCUUUCUAGCAUCCCAGAAAUUUUCAAAAUCCCAGAAAUACCAAACACCCCGAAGAUUCCUAAUAUCCCAAUGAUUCCUAAUGUUCCAGGACUUCCAAACAUCCCAGAAAUCCCUAAGAUUCCAAAGAUUCCUAACAUCCCGAGCAUUCCCAACAUCCCCAACAUUCCCAACAUCCCAGGAAUUCCUAACAUUCCAGGACUUCCAAACAUCCCAAACAUUCCCAACAUUCCAGAAACCCCUAACGUUCCAGGAGUUCCAAACAUCCCAAAAAUCCCUAACAUUCCGAAUAUUCCUAACAUACCAGAGAUCCGUAACACUUCGGGCUUCCCUAGCCUCCUGAGAAUUUCUCCUUUAUCACCAUUCCACUCUUUAUUGCAAUCAGCUGAAAUGGAAAAGUGUUUGACGAAGGAGGUAUCAAAGAAAGCUGAGAAAUGCUUUUCACAUAUAUUCUCGAGCAGGGCAGAGAAGAAUUUUGCAUUAGACGAAAUCUGCUGUGAAAUAGUUGUGAAGAUGGGCAACAAGUGCAAUAGCCACGUUGGCAUGUUCUUCAAGAGUCGCUUCUUCGCUCCUCUUCUUCACUACUCAUGCCACAUCAAGAACACCAAAAACUAAGCAAGUUCCUCCAAGGGAUGUAUAGUAUGAUAUGUUAGCCGUUUAUUUGUUAUUUCUAAUGAUCAUUCUCAGUUCUCACAUGGGACAUUUCAUGAAUUGUUCUUCCUUGAGUAAUAAAUAAUAGUUUAUUUAUAGAACCAUACAAAAUUCUGUCCUUACGUACAGAUUUACUUUCGUUUUGAUUGGCAUAAAAACCGGAACCAAAAAACUGAACCGGAACCAACCCGAAAUUACCGGUUCGGUUCGGUUUCGGUUCUUGCAUAAAUACCCGUUGGAUCCUGUGAUUGAGAUCCAUGGAUCUCGGUUCAGUUCCGGGUAAUAUCCAAAACCCGAGGUACCAAACCGAAGACCCAAAAAUUGUUGGUUUUAGUUGGUGGGUUUAGCCCAUGUAAAACGAAAUUAUGGCUCAUACACUCAAACAAAAUGUUGGACUAGACUUGUAAAAUUUUGGCCCAAAAAGAAAGAAAUGAAUUAAAAAAAGUGUGCAUCCUAUAACCCUAAUUCUGGCAGACACAUUCUCUCUCGACCAAACUGAUUCAUUUUCUCAUUCUUAACACAUAUAUAACCCUAAUCCUUAAUCAGACAGAAAAAUUGGAAUCCGCAAAUUUCAAAAGCCGUCGCGUUUCCUCGCCGGCUCCACCGUCUGCUACAUCAAAAGUUCAGUCAGAGGUAUGUUCGUCUUCCAUCUCCUUCUCAUUUUCGAUUUCAUUUGAGUUUCAUUUUGAAUGGGUUUUGCUGAAAAAUUUUCGAUUUGGGGUUUCGGACUAAACGUUUCAAUAGAGCUAAUUUCUUCUUUGAUUUUUCAUUUCCACUAAGAGUUAUACAUAAAUCGAGUCUCUAUAGUGUCUUUAAUUAGUUUUUUCGAUUUAGGGUUUACUGUUCAUAUAUGAAAUCAAUUUGGGGCUAACUGUUUCUCUUUGUUUAAAAAAGAAAUAGACAUCAUUUCCUACUUCUUUAUUCAUUUUUACAACGAAUUAGGGUUAUAACUCGAUCUGGGUUUUACUUAUUUUAGUUUGCGGGUUUAGUAAGAAAAUGAUUAGGGAUAACUCCUUUUGUCAUUUGAAUGCUUCUGUUAGUACUCGGCUUAGAUUGUUUGUGAGUUUUGAUUGCUUGUGUUGUAUCAAUACAUUAUAUUAGUUUGAUUAUGAGUUAUGAAUGCUUCUUAGUUAUCGAGUGUACAAGUUGUUGUAUCGAUAGUUUCAUGUCAUUGUAUUAUGACUUCUGAUGGGUUUGGUCUUGUUAAUAUGAUGCAGAUGGCUUCUAAUCAAGGUUCACCGAACGUUAAUGAAGAACCAGUUUUUGAAGAUGACCUUGAAGUUACCGAGGACGAAGUUGAGACUCCUACUCCUACGUCUGCUAAUAAAGGGAAACAAAAAGCUUCGGGGAAUAAGAAAGGAAGGAAGAGGACAAGAUCUGAUGUGUGGAACCAUUACACAAGAGCGAAGGAAGACUUUGACAAGUGCAACUGUCAUUACUGUGGGAAGGAAAUGGGGUGUGCAACUACAUCGGGCCACCUCUAAUCUGAUCAAGCAUCUAAGAUUCUGCAAGCAGCAUCUUGCGUAUGUAGCAGCAAAGCAACCGGAUGAUCAACAACAACUGGAUGCAGAGACUGGAGACGGUUUAAAGCUGUGUAAGGUGUCUGAUGCGGUGAUUAGGGAAGCUUCAAACGAAAUGGUCAUUCUAGCUAGUUGCCUCUGUCUUUUAUAGACAGCCUGGGAUGGAGACAUUUCUGUGCUAGAGUCAAACUGCCCAAGCCACACUCUCGGAGAACAGCGACUCGAGACAUAGUGGAGAUGUAUGUGAGGAAGAAAGCACUUCUGAAGAAAGCACUUGCGGCCAAUAAGCAGCGGCUCUCCUUGACGACUGACAUAUGGACGGCUCCAACAACGAUGGCUAGUUAUAUGGUGAUAGCUGCACACUUCAUCGACAACAACUGGCAGUAGAAAAAAUUCAUCAUUGGUUUCAAACACAUUAGUGACCACAAAGGGUCAACUAUAGCUACUGUUCUGCUAGACUGCUUAGCUGAGUGGGACAUCAAGAAGAUCUUCUCCAUAACGGUUGACAAUGCAACAGCAAACUCAAGUGCUAUGAGUUUGUUUAAGGACGAGUUCAGAUAUGUCAGAGAUGAUGCACUAGUUCUCGAUGGUGAGUAUUUACAUUUAAGAUGUGCUACUCACAUUCUUAAUCUGGUUGUGAAGGAUGGACUGCACGUUGUGGACAAGAACAUUGCUGCCAUUCGGAAUGGUGUACAGUUUGUGAGGUCGUCUACACCAAGGCUGAUGUCAUUCGAGCUUCGUGUUGAUACGGGGAAGAUGACGAGAGGGAGUCUGUCUCUGGAUUGCAAAACAAGGUGGAAUUCAACAUAUCUGAUGUUGAAUAGAGCGAUGGAUUUCAAGGUGGCUUUUGACAAGAUGCAGGCUGAGGACAAGUUGUACAACGACUACUUCAAGGAAAAAGUUGAUGGGACAAAGAGGAUUGGCCCGCCUAUGGAAGAAGAUUGGGACGCAGUGGACAGGUUACUUCACUUCCUUCUCAUCUUUUACAAUUCAACGCUUGUCCUCUCUGGAACUAACUCCCCUCGUGCGCAUAAGUGUUACAAUGAGAUGGUGACAAUUGAGAGAAACCUGAUAUUACUGAGCCUAGAUGGCGAUGAUGAGCUUAAGAAGAAAGCAGCAGCUAUGAUUGCAAAGCUAGGCAAGUAUUGGGAUCCGUUCGGUUUUGAAACCGAGAUGAAUCGGAUGCUGAUAGUAGCAUCCGUGUUUGAUCCAAGGAAUAAGAUGAAGUUUUCCAAGCUUUGUUUUGAUAAGCUUUAUGGGCCAGAUAGUGCAAUUGCUACGCAGAUGAAUGAGUCCAUCUUGGAGAUUCUACAGAGGUUGUUUGAUGAGUACAAUGUCAGGUCUGGUGGUUCUGUCAACCAAUCUUCAACUCCUACGACUAGUACAUGUACGUUUUCUCAGUCACAGGUUAGUGGAUCAUCGAAUGGUGCAUCUAGUUCUGGAACUUCUCAGGACUUAGGUAGAACUAGGAACCGUAGAUUGAACUUGGCUGGUCGUUCUCGCUAUGAAAGGAUGGAUUUAGUUUACAAAGAGAUGGUACAAGAGACAGGGUUUCAGGAAAUUAGCUCUGAGCUAGAUUUGUACUUGUCCGAGAAUGUGGAGAAUCCACAUAUAUUUGAGGGAACCGAUUAUGAUGUACUCUCAUGGUGGAAGGUCAAUACUUCUAAGUUUCCGGUUCUGUCACAAGUGGCUAGGGAUAUAUUAGCAAUGCAGGUUUCAUCGGUUGCAUCAGAGUCUGCAUUUUCCACAAGUGGUCGCAUCUUGGAUCCUAGCAGGAGUUGCUUGACACAUUACACCAUCGAAGUUCUCAUGUGUACUGAGCAAUGGCUUAAGUCGGAGAUACGUAUGGACCGUAGAGGAAGCAUUACCAUUGAGCAGCUACUUGAUGAGAUAGAAGACCAGGAAGAUCUUCAAAGAGGUAAGUCAGCAUAAUCUAUUACAUUUUUCAGUUAUAAGUACUAACAUUACUUAUAUGACUUUAUUUGUUUGCAUUUUACAGAGUUUGGAGAUAUGAAUCUGGAAGACUAAGGAGUCAAUGAAGUAUCAAAGACUGUAUUUGUGGUAAAGACACACUUAUGAAUUACCCUAAACAUUUACGAGUGUACUUUGGUAUGUAUUUUUGGUGAUAGUUUACUCGUUUUUUUGAUUGCAGAUUAGGAGUCUCAUUCUCUGAAGUCAAGAAUCUCAGUCGACUUAUGCUUAUGUUUUUGCCUCUUUGGCUUUUGGAUGUUGAACUUCUUUUAUUUAUGCAUUUCUCUAUGCUUCUCAAACUCGGAUUUGUUUUAUGUAUUUGAUGUUGCUACAUCGUCUUCCAGACUUCUACUUUUGCUUUUCAAACUUGAUGAUGACUUAUGUUUAAGGGAUUUGGUACUUUUUAGUUCUUAUUUGUUUGCAGAUCGGGUUUUUUUUAUCAGUUUUGGUUACUUUUGCACAUUUCGGAUACAAAUAUGGAUUUCGGAUACAAAAAUACCCGAUUAAUUUAAGAACCAAAACAUUUCGGUUUUUAUCGGUUCCUAGUAAUUUAUACCCGAACCAAACCGGAACCGAAGGUACCGAAAUGAAACCGAAAACCGAACUUCAUUCGAUACCACUUCGGAUUUUCUUCAUCUAUACCCAAAAUAUCCGGAACCAUUCGGUUCCUACCCGGAACUGAACCGGCUAUCCGAAUGCCCUGGACGAGUUUUGAUCGAAUUUGUUGAUUACACAAAUAAUAAUUAGUUUAAUUACUUAGUUAACGUGAAAAAAAAACUUCCUGUUUAGAAUUUGUUUGCUUAUCACAAAUGCUCCGUUCGAGCAAGAUUGUUUAUAUACCUCUGUGUAGACGAAUUAUUGUUUCUUUCGUUUCUAUUUAGGCUUGUUCUUCAAAACUACGUGCCUAAAUAGAGGUCUAUUAUCACUAUAGCCUUUGAAGGUUUCUAUGUAGGCUCAUUCUUGCUCCGUUCGAGCUAGCUAGCUAGAAUGUUUAUAGACCUCUGUGUAGACUUACUUUUCCUUUCGUUUCUAUUUAGGCUUAUUUAAAAAAAAAAAAACUAUGUGCCUAGUGCCUAUCAAUUAUCAAUAUAGCCUUUAAAGAUUUUUUUUUCUUCGUCAAGAAUAGAAAUUAGAAGGAACACGAAGCAUAUUCCCCCCAAAAUAUCAUAUUCACUUGAAGAAGUCGUAUCUUAUUUUUCCAAAGAGUUUUAUUCUUUGCUAUUUUUUUUUGUUUUUGUUUUUGCAUCAGAUUAUCUGUUGACAAAAUAAAAAUCUGCAACAUGUUUUAUAGACAACCACGCGAUUGACAUUUUCAAAAACACACACCCGAGAAAACAUAAUUAAAUGAGGAUUCAGUUUCACUAUCUGACAAAAUCCGGUAAAAUAUAUCUUAAGAUUCUAUAUGACGUAUCAGUAUCCACAAAUACAGGAACUUGUGUAAUCUUCCUCUUACAUUAUACAAAACCAAAAAACAAACAAAAAUACAAGUAGGUUAACUUUCCUUCUUCCCCUAUAUAAUCUAUUCCACCUCCAUAAAAUUGCAUCCCUACACUCAUUCAUUUCGCACACACUCAACAAUGAAAAGCCUCAUCAUCGUUCUCUGUCUCACCAUUAUUCAGACAACAACGAUCGGAGGAUGGCCAAAACCUUCGGAAAUCUCCAAUAACGCAAUGCUAAUAAAUACCGACCACCACCGUUACUACGGUAGUAAAUUUAGUUUUGAAGAUUCCAAAGUUUGGAAAUGUGUUUAUAACAACGGAUGUGGAGCCGCUGUCUCUAUAUCUUACCCUGGACCUCCACAACCACCAUCGAAAAAGCCACCAACUCCAUCGUCUCCUCCUCCAACAUCAAAUAUGUCUCCACCACCACCUAAACCAUCACCGCCUCCACCAACUCCUAGAAUGUCUCCUCCACCUCCAAAAAAAUCUCCUCCGCGUCCCAAACAAUCUCCUCCGCCUCCUAAACCAUUACCUCCGCGUCCCAAACAAUCUCCUCCGCCUCCUAAACCAUCACCUCCGCGUCCAACUCCAAAGAGGUCUCCUCCGCCUCCUAAACCUUCACCUCCACGUCCAACUCCAAAGAGGUCUCCUCCGCCUCCUAAACCAUCACCUCCGCGUCCAACUCCAAAGAGGUCUCCUCCGCCUCCUAAACCAUCACCUCCACGUCCAUCUCCAAAGAGGUCUCCUCCGCCUCCUAAACCAUCACCUCCACGUCCAACUCCAAUGAAGUCUCCUCCGCCUCCUAAACCAUCACCUCCACGUCCAACUCCAAAGAGGUCUCCUCCGCUUCCUAAACCAUCACCUCCACGUCCAACUCCAACUCCAAAGAAGUCUCCUCCUCCGCCUCCUAAACAAUCUCCUCCGUCUUAUAAACCAUCAACGCCAUCACCUACACCCAAAAUUACACCACCACCUCAUGCACUAUCGCAGCUUCCUCUUCUAUCAUCACCCCCGGUUAGUAUCAUUUUGUUAAAGUCCAUGAUGUUUUUAAUAACAAUUGCAGGCAAACCUCUGUAAAUUAAUAACAAUUGCAGGCAAACCUCUAUAAUUUCGAGACUGAAAAUUUUAUUGAUUUAUGAAGUAUUAAUUUUUAGAGGUUCUACAGUAGUUUAUUACUCUCAUUUUGUUUCGGUUUAGCUAGGUGAUACUUAAAUUUGGACAGAAAUCAACAUACGUUACAAAAUACUUAUCUUUUUAUAUAGGAUAUGUUACUAGACUAUGAUCUAUAAUUGGUUAUGACAUAAUAUUUUAGAAAACAUUUUAUGCAUUCUAGAUCGGCAACUCGCCUCCAAUUCCCAAGAAGUCUCCACCUCCACCAAACGAGUCAACUCCAUCAUCACCGGAGCAUCAUUAUCAGAAUCCGGAUCCAAAUCCGUGGGGGCAUUUUAUCAGUUGCAUGAGCGAUUUUGGGCCGUCGGCAAUAUGUAAGCAGCAAAUGGAGGUAAGUUACUACACAGGGAGGUUUCGUGUGAGUGACUAUUGCUGCGACCUUAUUGUCAACAUGAGAAAUGAAUGUACUGAUGUCAUUUUAGGCUUCUACACUGAUCCCUUCUUCGUUCCUUUGAUUCGUUACACUUGCCACGUCAAGAACUAGCUUUUAUUUGGGGGUUUUUGUUUACCCUUAAGUAAUUUACUUGGUGUUCUUUAGUCAUGUGGUUUUGUUGUCGUCCCAUAUCUUAUAGACCGUUCUUUUGUUACAUUUCACAAAUAAUAAUUUUUUUUUCUACAUCUUUCUCCUUUGUUUUUUUUCUUUUUGUGAACAUUAUCUUUCUCUUUUGUUAAUACAUAUUCGCCAAUGCAGAUAAGAUGAGAGAAGUAUUUGCACUCUUUCAUCAAACGAUAUUAAUAAAGUAGAAAACUCUCAAUUUUCUUCAGCUAAAAAUAAAAAUGGAUUAAAACACGAUUUGGACCUCUAUUAUGUUUUCCUGCAAUAGUGUAUUUUGUUAUGAAUACAUUUAAUUUAUUUUGCUUUCGAUCAUGUAAAAAUGAUAUAUUAUUUUAGUUUUCAUAUUAUUAUGGAACUCUUAAAAAUAUUCUAUAUUUUGAACCAUUUUUAAAAUAUUUUAAAAGAGUAACUAAAUCAGUGGCUGAGGUAGGUAGUAAAAAGAUUAUAUUUACAUGUACUUUUUGAAAGAAAAAUAGGUAAACUGUUAAAAAUGUAGCUUAAUAACCCCUGUAAAUUUUGCUCAAAAUACAUUGUAAAUUAAAAUUGACCCCUGUAAAAUUUUUGGCUAGCUCCGCCACUGAACAAAAUGGUCCAAAUUGUAUCCCUAAAAUUUGUUGUAAACUAAAUUUUGAAAUAUAUAAUUGGGUAAAAAAAUGUUUGUAGACUAAACUUCGUAAACUACAAAAUAGAUAUGAGAAAAAAGAUCUAAUUAAAGUGUUACUGAUUUAAAUAUGUUGAUUUUGUGAUGGUUAGGUUGUUAGUGAGAAUAUAAUAUUUAUGUUUAUUUGGUGUGUAUGUGUUUUAAUUUUUAAGCGCGGGCCGAAAGGUUUUUUAAAAAAAUAAUUCAAAAAUUUAAACCAUUAUUUGUUAUUGAUAGUAAACCGAAUAAAAAUUAAUAAUAAUGUAAAACAUGUGAAUAAAAUUUCAUAUUUACCACUUAUUAAACUCUACAUAUUACACUUACAUAUACAUAAAUAAAAAAAAUAUUAAAAAGAGCAAAUAACAGCAAUUUAAUAUCGAUCAAUUACAUGUCCAUAAAAGAUUUAGAUUUUUUUUUCUAUAGAUUCCUAAUAUAUAUCUCCCUUUGUUCUUUCUCCAGAAUCUCCAUCAUCAUAUUCUUCUUCCCCUUCAUGAAAUAUUAUUUCCACAAUAGCUAGGUUUAAUCUUUUCUCCUUCAACUUAUCUUCCCCUCUUUUGUUCUCGUUGUUUACCUUCAAACAUCUUCGCUAUCUCUUCCAUCUCGUCCUUCAUAUCAAUCAUACAUUUCUUUGUUGUCAAAAUUCAUUCAUCAUUUUAACCAAUGUUUUCUUGUAGCUUUUGUGAUUUUUCUCUAGUAAUUCAAACAUGGUUUGGUACCCAUUUAGCAUUUUCGAAUUCUUCUAUCUCUUAAAUUUCUUUGAUUAUAAAUUGAUUUUUUCGAGGGUCAUUGCCAUUUUCUUCUUUUGUAUUAAAGUGUAAGUAAACAAUCGAUUUGGUGGCUUUUGUCUCUCCUUACCAGUUCUUAUUUUUCUUGCAAGCACAUGCAUGAAACUAUGGUAUCAGAGCAUAGGUAGAUAAUUCAUUGGGUAGCUUUUGUCUCUCUUUUUCAUAAUUUCUUAUCUACACUUACAUGUACUUGAAGGCUUUAACUUUCUUGUCAACCAUAUUAAACAUAAAUCUCCAACAUCUUCUUCUUCCUUAUCAUUUAAACAUCUUUAUCAGAGCUUUGGUAAACAAUCCUUAUCUUCCUCGCAUGCACACAUGCAUGAAACCAUGAUAUCAGAGCUUUGGUAAACAAUCCCUUUCGUAGUGUAUGUCUCUCCUUCUGACCGGUUCUUAUCUACUUACAUGUACUUAAAAGCUUUAAGUUCCUUGUCAACCAUAUUAAAAAUAAAUCAGAAACAUGGAAAGAUGAACAAACGAUGAUAGAAUAUCGAUCAGUUACAUGUCCUUAAAGGCGUUAACUCUUUUUAUCGCUCUAGAUUCCUAAUUUAGAUCUCCCUGAUUUCUUUCUCAAGAAUCUCCAAUAUAUUAUUUUUAUUUUUAUCCUUCAUGAAAUAUAAUUUCCACAAUACAUAUGAUUUAGUUUUGUUUCCUUCAACUUCUCCUCCUAUCUUUUGUUCUCAUAUGUACUUUACUUUCAAACAUCUUCGUCAUCUCUUCUUGUUAUUUCUUCAUAUAAAUCACAUAUUUCUUCGCCGAAAACAUUUUCAUCAUGUUAACCACUGUUCAUUGUAGCUCUAGCAUUUCAAACAGAGUUUGGUACCAAUUUGGCAUUGUCGAAUUCAAUAUCUCUAAAAUUUCUAUAAUCAUACAUUGAUGUUUUGAGGGUCCUUGCAAUUUUCUUCUUUGGUAUUAGAGUGUAGGUAGACACUCCAUUUGCUAGCUUUAGUCACUUAUUCUUGUCGAUUCUUAUCUUUCAUGCAAGCACGGACAUAAAACCAUGUAUAAUAACAUAGAUAAACAAUCCAUUUGGUAGCUUUUGUCUCUAAUUUUGACCAGUUCUUAACUUCAGUAUCAACCAUAUUAAUCAAAAAUCAGAAACACGUAAGACACAAAUUACGAUGAUAAAAUAUCGAUCAAUUAGAUGUACCUGAAAAUAACUCUCUCUCUCUCCAUAUUCCUCAUCUUUUCUUUUUUUCUUUUUUAUUGUUUUUAUUUUCUACUUGUUCUUUUUUAUCGUUUUUAUUUUCUACGUGUUCUUUUUUAUUGUCUUCGUUUUUUUAUCGUCUCUUUCCCUAAUUCUACCUUUUAAUUUUUUAAUUUUCAUUUUUUAUCCUUUAUCCAUUUUUUCUUCUCUUCCAUUUUAUCUUUUAUAUUCUAAUUUUUUUCCCAAUUUAUUCUUUCGGAUUAUUCUUUUUUUUCUAUAUUGUGCAUCUCAUUCUUCUUUUUCUAUCAAAAAACUUCAUCUUCAACAAAUCACUAAAACUAAUUGUCUUUGCAAACUUUUUAACAUUUACAAGAACUACCUCAGGAUCUUUACAAAAACAAGUACGAUACAACCUUUCUUCUAACAUUAGACACAACAACUCCUUUCUUCAUUCUCCAAUUCACAACUUAAAAGAAAAGAAAUUAAUACAAUCCAAUUUUCAGUCAUCCCACAACAAUGGAAAUUUAUGUCCAAAAGCAGAGUACAUAUAAAAAAUGAUGAGGUUACGCAACCCAAACGGAAGAGACCAAAUUAAUAAGAAUCUUGACCAACAUAACCGGUAUCAUAUCAAAACAACAUACAGUAAAACCUUUAUAAAUUAAUAAUGUCAGGAUUAUGAUAUUUUAUUAAUUUAUUACGAUAUUUAUCUUAUAGAAAAAAAAAUUUUCGCCUAUCUUUUUCUUAAAUAUUCUUUCAAAUGAUGUUAUAUUUAAAAACAUAAACGCAUAUGCUUAUAAAAUGACAUGCACAAACUUGAAAUUAUGAUUACUAAUCAUUGCAAUCGCAAUAGAAUAGUUGUUUCCAUUUGUUAAUUAUGGACUGAAUUAUCUAUGUAAUAAUAUAAAUAUUUAUUAGUACAAAAUUUUGAAAAAUUAUGGCUACUAUCCUUAAUGUUGGUGCUGAAAUUGAAAACAAUAUCAUAAUAUAUUGUGAAACAGUUACGCGUAAGAAAAUCAAUUAUCACAUCUAAAUUUUUUUCACAAAUUUUGAAUGGAGUUAAAAAAAAAACAACAUUAAAAGUUAUUGAUGUAAAUAAGUAAAGAGAUGAUUUUCAAUAAAAUUUCAAACUUAAAUAAAAAAACAACAUAUUAAUCAUAUUUUAGUAUAUUAUAGCUUACCUAUAUAUAUACAUAAGUUUUAUAAUUAUUAAUUUAAGUUUAUGUUGAGGCCAUAUAUUUACAUGGGAGUUUCAAAAAAAUUAUUAUCUUAUUAUCUUAUCAAAUUUGAUGGAUUUUUACACUUACCCGACUCGGAACCAGAUAAAUUUAUUAAUUUAUAAUGAUUAUUAAUUUAUCUAAUAUUAAUUUACAGAGGUUCUACUGUAAUCUAAAACAAAACACAAGAUUUAUGAAUCCAAACAAAUAAAUCAUAAACUUUUCAUCCACACAUCAAUAAUAGAAAAUAGCAAGAAAAAAGAAAUUAUUUUAUUAAUUUCAAACUAAACAAAAACGAAAAUGAAUUCAACUACAAACUAAUACGUUUAUAAGAAAUCCAAUAACAACAUCCAACAUAAUAAGCGGAGUGCAUUGACUAACAAUAUCCUAAACACUAAAAAGAACCAAAAAAGGGAUUUGACCAAAAAAAUCCAAAAUAUAUAUCCCGUCAAAAACCACGGCUCAAACAUCCACAUGAUCACCAGGAACCAAUCCAAAAGCACAACAGGCAGCCCGAAAAGUGAGACAAACAAUGCUGAAUAUGGUUUUAAUAUCCUUAUAGCAACAUGGGCCUCUAACAACAUCCAAUAGAAGCCUCAAAUAAUAAAUCUUAAAUCUCUCCGAACGGGGCAAGACUCCACAACACAAUUGGAGGUCUCCAUUGGCUACUGUCACGAUCCCAAACAAACUUAGAAGGCAAUUACGAAGAAAUCUAGCCUCGGGAAAGACACGAUCAUAGUCCAUCCAUCCUGAGAACUAACUCUGUCCAUGACCAUAAUAUAGAUCUUCAUCACCAGCAAAGGAUCUCAGUUUUCUUUUCUUUUUUUGUUGAAAAGGAUCUCAGUUGUCUAGAACGAUAAAAUGCGAGCAAAUAAUGUGACUUGUGUUGAGUAUAUGAACCAAUAAGCAGAAAAACAUCUCAGGUCAGCCCCAACAUAAAACGAAAAAACAAAGUGCACCAAACCCGCUUAAUAUGUAAAACAUAAGUGCGAUAAACGAAGACAAUCACCAAACUAAAGACGAACAAAAAAAAAUAAAAGGAAACGUUACCAUAUUUCGACAUAGCCGUAAAACUAAACAAUCACCGAUCAAAGCCGCAAAACUAAACAAUUACCGAUCAAGGCCGCAGAACUAAACAAGUCCACCUAAAAAACACCACCACCUAAUCAGUAAACAAACAUCAAACGGUAUAAAAAAAUAAGAAGAAUCUAUACAUUAUAUAAAAUUCAACUUCUAAUAAAACUCAGAACGAAAGAAAUUCUUAAAACUACAAAAAAGAAAGCCACAAGAUCUAAACUAAAACCAUUCAGAAAGAAAAGGUAGACCAUUAUAACACAAUACAAAUUCACAUAAAAGCAAUAAAAACAACCGCGUCGAAAAUAAAACAGCAGAAAACCUUCACAAAAAAAAACACAAGAUCGCUGAGUGAACCACACAGAAAUACAGAAUAUUUAUCCUGAUAAAGUGAUAACACCGGAUUUUGACCAUUUUAUGGAUCACUUUAAUAUUUUUUACAGGUGUUUUUACUCCAUUUGCAAAGGUUUUCAAAGGAUCUCUAUGUUUCCGGAUUUUAAAAGAUUUUUCAGGUAAUUUGGGAUAAAGAGGCACAAAAUGGAACAAAAAGACUCUUUUGGAUAAAUGCAGACCGUCAGAAUUCUCAUAGAGAGACGAAGACCUUCUCACCGUCUGAUCACCCUCAAAAUUGGACAACUUAUAGAAGAAUCAACCAGCUUUCAAAUGCACUUGGUUUGGAGACAUUCCAACGGUUGGAUCUCAAGAUAUUCCAUUAGCCCCGGAGCCACUCGAAGACGGCCAGCAAGUCACGCGACCGCGGCCAACAACCUAUUUCCUGCGGUCAGAAGCUUCCCGACCGCGGCCAACCAGCCAAUCCCCGCGGUCACAUCACUCCCGACCGCGGCCAUCAAGCUCGAACUAAAACCCAUAUAUCUGAAGCCCAAAGUCACUCUCAGCCUCAAUUCCGAAACCCUAGAGACCAUGGAGUAUUGGAGACUAUAAAUACUUGUCAUUUAGGUCGUUUUUAGAGAAAACGAUUGAUACUUUACAGAAACUCUUUUCCUUUUGCCGUUUUUAUGAGAUUUUUGUAGAAGAUUGUUCAAGUCCGAGUUCUUCAAUAGAGAAGCAUCCUUUAUCUCUUUUCUUUACUAUUUUUCAUUACUUUUAUUAAAACCGAUGAUGAUGUCGACCUCAGCCAUGUCUGAGUAGAUCCCGAGUUGGGCUUAGGGUUCCCGAAAGGGACUCUCAUAAUCGAUUAAGACAUCUAGUUUUAUAGAUCUGGGAUUUCGACCUGUUCUCUGUUUAUUCUUGUUCUUAUUGCAUGUAUGCUUGAUUGAUCACCUAGUAUCUGAUCUAGAUAGUUAGUGUUGCGAAAGUUUUCAUUAAGUAUCAGCCCUAGAAUGAAACAGGAGAUUUUUCCGUAGGAGUGGAAACCUACCUGCGGCGAGAUCGUGAGUAUUGACGAGUCUUGUGAAGCUCUUGCGUUCUCUCCCUUCCAGGGCCAGAGUGGAAACCUACUGGUCAAGGUUGCGAGAAACAGUUGGUUAUGAUCACGACAGUGACGUAGUCAUACCGCCGUACUCUAGCUCUAGAACCCAUAUAUCGUUAUCCGUCAAUCCCAAUCUAUCUACCUUAGUGUUAAAACCGAUUAUGAUCCCUUAGAGUUCCCAAAAGCUCAGUGUUUUUAGCCAUAGUUUACAAUCCCAUCGAUUUUUAUUUGCUUACUUAAACCUGCAUUUCAAUUCCCUUAGUUCGAUAUUUUACUUGCUUUACUAGUUUUUCAUUCGAUAUUUUACUUGCUUUAUUAGCCUUUCAUUCGAUUUCUUUACUUGCUUUCUAGGAUAGAUUUAUUUGCUUUCUUUUGUUUUAGUUUAAUUCGUGACAAACAACCAACAUUUAAAAACCAAUCUAGUCUAGACAUAAAGUUAAAAACCAUAGAAGAAUACCAGGCACACAAAUCUCUGUGGAUUCGAUCCCUAAAUACUACAACUGAUUAGCUGUGCACUUGCGGCUUUCAUUUGUUUUGUUAAGGGUAAAACUUGUUCCCUCACGCAGUUGACACGACAUCAAGUUUUUGGCGCCGUUGCCGGGGAUUUGUUUCGCUGCCUUUUGCUAUUUUUCUUGUUUUAACUUCUAUUCUAGACACCUGAUCUCUAGUUCUUUCUUAAAGUUUUGCUGUAUUAUCUUUCUCUUCUUUUGUUUUUCUCUGAAUUGCAUGAAUACCAGGCGCAGACCUGUAGAAAACAUUCCAAUUCUAGAUGAGAUAGACAGACACGAAAGAGAACUUCGAAGACUUAGACGAACGCAAGGAAUGGCCAACGAUGACCAGCCUGGAGAUCCUAUUAAUCGAACUUUGAAUAUGGACCAAGACGGGUCCGAACAUGGAGAAAAUGAAGAGAAUGAUCACAGAGGAGGUGAUCAUGCUCGACAAGAUAGAGAGGAGGAUGAGGUUCCUCCAAGAAACCACCAGAACCGCGAGAGAGAAGAACGUGAAGACCUUGAAGCACCCAUCAAUGCAGCCGAUGGUGACCACCAAGGAGAGCAGCCGAAUGGACGCGUUAACCGCCCUGUUCAGCAAGCAAAUCAACACCGAAGACAAGCCCGAAACCAUCGCAUAGCUGAUUUUGAUGCACCUACUCAAAAUUUUCAGAACCGAUCUGCAAUUCAAGUUCCAUUUCCGAACCGGAAUGAGUUUGAAGUCAAGCCCCAAAUCAUCUCAUUGGUUAAACAAAACCAAUUCCAUGGAGUUCCUUCUGAACACCCAAUGGACCAUAUCGAGCUCUUUGAAGAAAUCUGCAGCAUGAUGAGAACGAACCAAGUUCCACCAGACUAUUUAAAGUGUAAGUUGUUCCCUUUUUCAUUAACAGAUAAAGCUCACCGUUGGUUGAAAUCUUUGCCUGCAGGAUCGAUUACUAAUUGGGAAGAAUGUAAAACUGCUUUCUUGAACCACUUCUAUACUAAGUCAAGGUCGAAUCAGUUGAGAACAAAGAUCUCAAACUUUCAACAAGGGCCAACUGAAUCUUUCUAUGAAGCCUGGAAGCGUUUUAAGGAGUAUGAACGUGAUUGCCCUCACCAUGGAUUUCAUGGAUCAAGCCUGCUGAGCACAUUUUACCGAGGUUUGCAACCAAAAUACAAACUUUCACUUGAUACAGCUAGCAAUGGACAAAAGACGAUAGCCCAAGGAAGAGCCCUCAUCGAAAAUUUGGCUCAAGCCAAUAGCAAUGAUUGUCCUGAAUACGAUCGAUCGAUGAAGCAAGCCGGAACAGACAACAAGGAGAUAACGUUGAAUAACAUGGUGAGCCAGCUUCUGAAGAGCAACAAUCGCCCAAUCCAUGCUUGUGAGACCAACAAUGGCGCAGAAGAUGAAGGACCUAGUGAUAUUGAUCACAUUAAUCAGGCCUUUCAAGAAGAAGAUGUGAACUAUGUAGGAGCACUGGUGCCAUAUCAAAAUCGCUCCAACAAUGGUAACAACAACAACUUCCGGAAUGCAAAUUACAACAAUCUCUCUUACCGCAAUCCAAAUGUGGAGAAUCCUCAAGAUCAGUACUACCCACCUCAGCAAAAAUCCUUCCAAAACAAAUUUCAAGGUGGAAACUUUGGAGGAAUAGUACCAUAUCAACCGCGACAGCCAUAUAACUACCAAGGUACGGGUAUUAACAAUCAAUUUGUACAACAGCAGGGAGUCACGACGAACCAGCUAGCUUCACAAAUCGGUAGACUUGAGCAGUCCAUCCAGCAGCUCGUUAUGACGAACGAAAAAGCAUCUAAAGACGUGAACGUGAAAGUUGACUGCAUGUACAAUGAUCUGAACGGUAAGUUCGAAUCUUUAUCUUUGCACGUCAAAAAACUGGACGUGCAAGUCGCCCAAACAUCCGACUCUAUGAAGAGGCAAAGUGGAGUUCUUCCAGGAAGAGUUGAAGAUAACCCUAAGAAGUUUUGCAACGCCAUAACCACAUUGCCUGAAGAAGAGGCCAGAACCAAUGGAAAGAAAGAAGAAACCCCAGUCUUUGUACCACUGUACAAAGAUGUCGAUGCUAAGCAGCCACCAUUUAAGGUAUCUGAACGAUCACCGUUUCAAAGGCUUACAAAAGCCGAUGAUCUGGGACGUUUUGUUUUCCAAUGUUUCAUUUCAGGAAUCAAGUUCACAGACUGCCUGUGCGAUUCUGGAGCCAAUGUCAACAUCAUGUCAAAGACAUUUGCCGAGAAAUUGGGCAUAAAAACCUUAAGGACAUCGACGGUUAAGGUUAUCUUUGGAGAUUCAUCUCAAAAAGAUACUGAAGGGGCGAUUCAUGAUCUACAAGUUCUAGUGGGAGACAAGAUUGUUCCAGCAGAUUUCCAAGUCCUGGAGAUGGAUAAAGAUAAGGAGAGGCCACUCAUUUUCGGGAGACCAUUCCUAGCUACAGUAGGAGCAGUAAUCGAUCACGCAAACCGGCAUGCUGUUUUCCUCAAUGUGGAUCGAAAAAGUAACUAUCCAACUAUCUUAGACGAUUUUCCAAGCAAAGGAAACAGGCCAAAAGAGAAAGAAAAGGAGAAGCCGAAAGCAUUUGCAAAGAUCAAGAUCAUCAUUCCACCAGAUGCAACAGAAACCAGUGAGGACCAAAUUCAGGAGCUGAUCGAAAACACAAAAAGGGUUUUAAAAAAUAUUAAAGUCCGAAAGAAGAGUAAAGGUAAGAAGACGACUCCUCAAGGAGAAUAAGUAAAACCUCCAGCGACCGGAAGUGAUAAAGGCACAUCAAGUGGAGUGCCAUUCAAAUCAGCCUGAUUCUUCAUGCCUACGUCGAGCUAAACGACUUAAAACAAAAGCGCUUAAUGGGAGGCAACCCAUUUAGGUACUCUUUCUUUUAGUUUUCUUUUCCUUUUUACAAUUUAUGCUUUCUUUUUCUUUUAAGUUUCAGGUAUUUUAUAAAAUAAAAACACAAAAAAAAUCAGAAAAUUAGAAAAACCAAGAAGAAAAAGGUAGAUUUUUAGCUGCUCGGCCCGGCAAAGACGAGAGGAUUGGACAAAGGCCGCAGGAGGAAGAGCCGCGGUCGCGACCGACCGACCCGCGGCCAAGGAAGCAUCGACCGCGACACCGUAAAUGUGACUGCGGCCGACCCCUCGAUCACCGCGGUCGCGCGUCUCCUGACCGUGGCCGUUGGUCGUUGAGGCGGAAGCUCGGAUUUCGGCCAUUUUUCAAAAGGUUCCCGGUGUUACCUGGUGUUUUCCCGGUGUUGCCUGGUGAUUCCUGGUGUUACCUGGUGUUUUUCCGGUGAUUCCCGGUGAUUCCAGUGUUUCCCGAAAUAUUCCCGGUAAAACCCGUAAAGAUCCUCCGUAAGUUUUAAACUUUCCUAACAAGGAAGGUAAGUUCCCGUAAACUUAAAAUUCUCGGAAAUUUUCCGUUUUUGCUACAAAAACGCUUUUUAAAGAAAAGAAACACACUUUUUGGAUCAAAACUCUUUUUUCUCUUCUCUUCCAAAUGAUUUGGAGAUUUAGGAGAUAGAACACAUUUUUCAAUUCUUAAUAUUUUUAAGAGGUUCUUGGCUCAAACCUCACUCUUUUUCAAAGCUGAUUUCAAUUCUGCCAUCAAAUCUCUCUUUCCAGCAAGCUAUGAACCUCAAACUCGCCAUUUUUAAUUGAUUUCAGAACUUAGGGUUUUCUUAAAAAGCUCAAAUCUCUGUCUAUUGAUGGUGGAAAUAGCUUAAGAACAAUAGAUUAUCAUUUUAGGUUAUCUAAAAUCGUUUUUAACAACUAGCUUAAGAGGAAUUGAGAUUUUUGAAAUUUGGAUUCUACAUGCUUCAUAAAAAUCGAAUUUGGAACAGCAAAAUUGAUGAAUUUGAUUAAGUCUUGUGUAAUUAGUGAUUAGUAUUGGGUAAUCUUUAGAAUUUACAUGGAAAUUGCUCAUAAAAACCGAUUUUUAGAAGAUUUCUAUGUUGAGAACAUCAAUAAUCCGAAUCUGGUCAUGAACUACUUGAUUUCUCUGAUUUAAUAUCAAUUUUGUUUGCUCAUGGUUUUAAUUAAUCUCUUUAUGCUAGUAUUAGUAUAACAGAUCUUAAUGUGUUAAAAUCAGCAUACAUAUUCACUCUUUUUCCAAGAAUCAUUUUGUUUUGCAGAAAAAUGGAACAAACCAGAUCCCGAAGAAGCUGUCACACUGGUGACAGCUCUGAGGACAUUCCCGAUGAUGCUACUCUAGGAGAGUACAUGCUGAACCAAGCCCGACCGAGAAGGAGAAACUAUGUGAUGAGAUUGCUCCAGCACUCAAGAAAAACACGAGCAGCUCCUGAGCCACCACAGAUUCGAUACAUUGGGAGGGAUACAAACCCGAGAGUGGACUAUGCAAGACGUUUCAAGAAGCUGAACAUCAAACCCACGCCUUGCAUUGAUUAUCAUACACUCGAGAUGCUUGGAAUCAGAGAGGAUGUGAUCUGGUACAUCGAUGCACUUAAGCUGAGACCCUACAUGGAGCUGAACCUUCCGACUUAUCCUGAGCUAGUCCAUGAGUUCUUAGCGACUAUCACACUCCACCACACGAAGAGGAGGAACCCCAGAGCAUCAGAUGGCAUCCUGUCAUUCUCUAUCCUUGGACAGCCUUACUCUCUCACCAUUUCUGAGGUUUGUGAAGCUCUUAAGCUUCCAUACACUGAUGGCAUUUACCUUGAAGCUGAACCUGAUCUUAACCUGUGGAGAGAGAUGGGUCAUGGAGUCUAUGAUAGCGGGAGAUCGAAGUCAGCCCUUCUUACUCAUCCAGCAGUGAGAAUUGUGCACAAACUCUUAGCACACACGAUCUUCUCUAGAGCCAACAUGGGAGGUGUUUUGAAGACUGAGCUCAUAACACUUCAGAUUCCAUUUAUGGACGAUCCACGACUUGCCUGCUUUGCCUGGAUCAUAGCGGAGAAUAUGGUAAAGGUGAAGCAUGAUUUACAUGGUUGCGAGGACACUACUCCAGCUUACGGGAGUGCUAUUACAGCGAUACUACAGGCUGUAGGAUUCGAUUUCUCAUCUGAUGAUCCACUUCCCGAUGUCUGGUAUGACCUACUUUAUCUCUCUCGCGAUCACACUAUCUCUCGUGCCGCUUUCGAUCCAGACAGGUUUGGUUACAAGUAUUGCACUGGCACUGAGGAGCACCGAGUCAGCCUGCCUUCAGCAUCUAUCCCGAGAUUGUGUAACGGAGGACAUCCACGAUGGACUCCGGAACCUGAUGAUUUUCUGCCAUCUGUACCUCGUCUACCAUUCACCAUUGGCCAAUACAUAGUGGCCAAGGCAAAGCGUGAUGCAGCUGCAGCCCGUGCUCACUUUCAGCCAUCUGUUUCGACCGGCCACACCUCAUCAUCUACAUCAUCGCACACUCAUUCCGAUCUGGAGCGCAGAGUUGAGAGACAGGGACGACGCUUUGAGCGCGUUGUCACCUUCCUACAGGAGCAGCACCAGUUCGCAGACGACACAUCGGAGGAUGAGUGAUUGAUCAGCACUUCACUACCAUCACGGUUCUAUCAUCAUUUUCUUUUCUUUUCUUUUAUCUUAUUUAUUUCGCUUUUAUUCACCAUCUUCUCGCCAACUUUUUCACACUGGGGACAGUGUGAUUUAAGUCUGGGGAGGAUGUCUAUCCGUACUAAUCAUUUUCUUGCUUUUGCUUUUAAAUUUCAAGCACUUUUUUAAUUUUUAAUAUGUAACCUAUUCGACAUUAAGUAUUUUUCAGGAAUGUUUGACGCAAAACUAUGAUGAUUUAGACCUGCACACUUCUACACUAUGCAUGAUAGCUCAUUUGUGGUUAGCACUAGACUAGGUGGUAGCUAGAGUACUUGCACUACGAACUCCCACCAGAGGACUUCUAUUCAUGGAGAUUCUUUCUGACAGGAUAUACUAGAUCAUUUUAUUUGGACUUAAUAUUGAUUUAUAAUUUUCUCAUCAUUGAUUUUAGGCAGGCAUCGACAUACACAUCUAGGACGUCUUUUACCCUCACUUUUACCACUCUUUGUCAUCCUAGAUGACCAGUUUAUCUUUAUCUGGUACCAUACCCUAAACCCAAAACCCUUGUUUUCAAUCCGCAUGCAUUCUCUCUUUAGUUUAUAUCAGCAGAUAUGUGUAAAAACGUCGGAGAGAAGAGGACCGACGCAGUUUUCAGUCACUCAUAAAGGAGACUGAAUGGAAUUGGGAAGGAAGAGUAUCAGAAACAUCAUGAAGCUUUACAAGACAGAUAUUGACUGGUAAUUUCGUGCUCUCUAAGACUCUAUAUCUAAAGGUGUUCCCUUUCUCUAAAAAAAAAUAAAAAAAAAAGUGAAAAGAGAAAGGGAGACAAAAAGCUUAAUGAGUCUUAUUGUCGAAGUUUUUGGAGCAAUAAGCAACCACUAUUCGUUUAAGGAGCUAUGGUUUUGAAAGAUUUACAAAAAUCUAAGUCUGGGGGAGUUAGGAGAGAACCUGAGGACGAAGACCAGAAAUCUAUGGCAAGAAGAAAGUGACUGAAAACUAUGGAUACCAACAGCUUCACUCUCUCUUACAGUUUUGCAUAAUAUCCUGUAUCCUCCAGACAUUCAGGUAACCCGUAAACACUUUAAGUCUUACCCCUAGAAUAAUCCUUUUUGACACCUAGCCUAGAUUGCCUUGCCUAGAUUUUCUUUGAUGAGAACCACCGAGAUUUUUAAUGAAUGUUAAGAGCUAGUUGACUGGAAGUUAGAUCUUAGUGCAUAGAUUUCCGCAUGACGGAUUAACGGACUAGUUAUGCCUGUAUUGCUAGUGAGAAUUUUCUAUGCUAUUCCCGAUUGAUGCAUACUGAUCGAUAUUGGUCUAGAAGUUUGGUCUCUGAGAUUUUAUUUAGUUCCUGCGUUUUCAAACCUCUCGCCGAGAUUUGGCUUUUGUUUUGUUUGAGGACAAACAAAAGACUAAGUCUGGGGGAGUUGAUAACACCGGAUUUUGACCAUUUUAUGGAUCAUUUUAAUAUCUUUUACAGGUGUUUUUACUCCAUUUUCAAAGGUUUUCAAAGGAUUUCUAUGUUUCCGGAUUUUAAAAGACUUUUCAGGUAAUUUGGGAUAAAGAGGCACAAAAUGGAAAAAAAGACUCUUUUGGAUAAAUGCAGACCGUCAGAAUUCUCAUAGAGAGACGAAGACCUUCUCACCGUCGGAUCACCCUCAAAAUUGGACAACUUAUAGAAGAAUCAACUAGCUUUCAAAUGCACUUGGUUUGGAGACAUUCCAACGGUUGGAUCUCAAGAUAUUCCAUUAGCCUCGGAGCCACUCGAAGACGGCCAGCAAGUCACGCGACCGCGGCCAACAACCUAUUUCCCGCGGUCAGAAGCUUCCCAACCGCGGCCAACCAGCCAAUCCCCGCGGUCACAUCACUCCCGACCGCGGCCAUCAAGCUCCGAACUAAAGCCCAUAUAUCUGAAGCCCAAAGUCACUCUAAGCCUCAAUUCUGGAACCCUAGAGACCAUGGAGUAUUGGAGACUAUAAAUACUUGUCAUUUAGGUCGUUUUUAGAGAAAACGAUUGAUACUUUACAGAAACCCUUUUCCUUUAGCCGUUUUUAUGAGAUUUUUGUAGAAGAUUGUUCAAGUCCGAGUUCUUCAAUAAAGAAGCAUCCUUUAUCUCUUUUCUUUACUGUUUUUCAUUACUUUUAUUAAAACCGAUGAUGAUGUCGACCUCAGCCAUGUCUGAGUAGAUCCCGAGUUGGGCUUAGGGUUCCCGAAAGGGGCUCUCAUAAUCGAUUAAGACAUCUAGGUUUAUAGAUCUGGGAUUUCGACCUGUUCUCUGUUUAUUCUUGUUCUUAUUGCAUGUAUGCUUGAUUGAUCACCUAGUAUCUGAUCUAGAUAGUUAGUGUUGCGAAAGUUUUCAUUAAGUAUCAGCCCUAGAAUGAAACAGGCGAUUUUUCCGUAGGAGUGGAAACCUACCUGCGGCGAGAUCGUGGGUAUUGACGAGUCUUGUGCAGCUCUUGCGUUCUCUCCCUUCCAGGGCCAGAGUGGAAACCUACUGGUCAAGGUUGCGAGAAACAGUUGGUUAUGAUCACGACAGUGACGUAGUCAUACCGCCGUACUCUAGCUCUAGAACCCAUAUAUCGUUAUCCGUCAAUCCCAAUCUAUCUACUUUAGUGUUAAAACCGAUUAUGAUCCCUUAGAAUUCCCAAAAGCUCAGCGUUUUUAGCCAUAGUUUACAAUCCCAUUGAUUUUUAUUUGCUUACUUAAACCUGCAUUUCAAUUCCCUUAGUUCGAUAUUUUACUUGCUUUACUAGUUUUUCAUUCGAUAUUUUACUUGCUUUAUUAGCCUUUCAUUCGAUUUCUUUACUUGCUUUCUAGGAUAGAUUUAUUUGCUUUCUCUUGUUUUAGUUUAAUUCGUGACAAACAACCAACAUUUAAAAACCAAUCUAGUCUAGACAUAAAGUUAAAAACCGUAGAAGAAUACCAGGCUCACAAAUCUCUGUGGAUUCGAUCCCUAAAUACUACAACAGAUUAGCUGUGCACUUGCGGCUUUCAUUUGUUUUGUUUAGGGUAAAACUUGUUCCCUCACGCAGUUGACACGACAUCAUAAAGCAGAAAGGAUGGAGGCGCAGAGUAAAUAUAUUGGCUCUCCUCUGUCAACACAUUAGACAGAAAAACUGCUUGGGAUUGCAAUUUUCCUUAACAGGAAUAGACCAACCAGAACAAUAUCACCCAAAAAAAAACAUGGGAUCAGUUAUUAAGUGAACAUAAAAAGGAAAGAAAAAAACAUAAAGAAAGAGAAAGACGCAAACUAACUUUCCUUGGCAUGUUCUUGAUGCGGACAUCAGUACCUGGAGUCGUGGAGAGGACAAGUGCAACGGACAUGCGAGUCUAGCCAAGGGUAAAGGAGAGACGAUCUCCCUUGUUGGGCAAGUCAAUGACGAAGGGGAGACGACUGUCAUUGAUUUGCCUUCUCUAGACUCCUAUCCCAUCACAAAGAAGCCAUCAAACCUCUCGGCUCACGUUCCAGCCGAACCAGACCAGAAAAUAUCAACCGACUUGACCCGACGCCGAGAAAACCUCUCAAAGUCAACCGACGUCAAUUUUGAUGAGUUAAACUACUCCAGCUUCAAGAUUCAUCAACCAAACACCUACAAGAAGACAUUUUGUCGUGGAAGAAUUCCCCUGGAGCGAGUUCAUUUAGAAGUUGCCCGAGACCCUCCAUUCAGAGCCUACCGAGAGCCGAGUCAUGAGUUCACGCUUUGUUUCUCUUUUUCAAGUGUUGCUGCGAAUUCUCAAGUCACUGGAUAUCAUAUUAGACGUACAUGGAAGAGAAAAGAAAGCUCAGAAUCUAUUUGGAGCGUUCACACUAAAGAAAAGCCACCUAGACCAAGACUUGCCUUAAACGGAACCGUUCACACUUGUGUUCACACCAGGCGACUUCUACACUUAAAAACUCGUGGUCCCACUUUCAAGAGACGUCCUCCAAGGCUUCAAGAAGACAUAUUUUGGCCAGAACAAGUUUUCCUUUUGUGCCUUAGACAUUAAAAUGUCAAACGGCUCUUUUCUCAUUAUUAGCAAAUCUUUGUUUCCUUUUCUUUGUUUUGUGAACGUUGAGCAGACUCUUUAUAAGCUCUUCGUCUCUUUCUUUGUUGGGGACACAUCUCUAUUCUAAUAAACUUCAGUUUUUGUUUCAAAGCUUUGUGCCUUUGAUUCUGUUCUUGUUUUAUCGAUUUCUCUUAAGUAUUGUGUGUGGAAUUUCCCUUGCUUAAGAAUCGAUUGAUCCUGUUCUUUCUAGUGCGUGGUUAUCCCCAGGAAAGUCAGUAUCAACCCUUGUUUGUCUCAGCAAAAACCGCACCUGAGCCAAGCUUCCAUCAUUCACCAUCGAUCCACCCUUCCGCAUAAGCCUUUUAGAGCCAUGAGGCCUUUGGUUUAAAGACUUGAUCUCGAGUCUUACAUCAUUGGUAUCAGAGCUUCAAAAGCUCCUAUCUAUCAGGUUAUUUCGUUCCUUUCAUUAGUUUUUCAUUAGUUUUCAUAUUUCUCAUAAAAAUCCUAAAAAGUAUUGUUUAUCGUUAGAUCUGUUGUUUCAAUUUUAUAAAAAUCAUAAAAAAAAAACCUAGAAAAAUUUUCUUUUGCUAUUUUAGUUUCCUAACCCCUUAUAAAAGCCAAAAAAAAUUAUUACUAGAAAUUUAGAAAUCGAUUUAUUAGUUUUAAUCCAAGCAAACUCAAACUAGAAAUUUUCUGCAAUUUUUCUGUUUUGUGAUUUUGUUUUGAUUUGAAUAAAACAUUGAUUUCUUUUGAAUCUUCUUGUGAGAGGUACCAUGGGAGAUGUUGUUGAAGACCCUGUUGCUACCAUGGCCCGAGCCUUCACAGCCUUUCAAGAUGAAGUGAGAAACAUGGGCUUAAGGCUAGAACAAAACAUCGCCAACAUAGGCGAGAGACUUGGCUGUGUUGAAGCACCACCCAACGGUGCAAACAGAGGCGCCCCACCACCCCAAGCUGACCAGCACGAAGAUAACAUGCCAGAUCUUGAAGAUGAUUUGCCCCCUGAUCGAAACAGAGCCCCGGAUCCACAACUACGACAACCUCGCCGGAGAGAUCCAAUGAACCGAAACCGGAUCCAUGAAGAGGUUCAAGGGCCGAACAAUGACUUGAAGAUGACUCCUCCUACCUUUGCUGGGAAGGUGGAUCCAGAUGCCUACCUUGAUUGGGAGAGGCGUAUGGAGUAUAUCUAUGAGUGCUACAACUACCCGGAGCCAAAGAAAGUCACCUUUGCGGCUGCUCAACUAACUGAUCAUGCCCUUGCCUGGUGGGAUCGAGCGAUGGCUGAGAGAAUACACUACAGAGAAUGACCACUCAAUUCUUGGGUGGAGAUGAAAACCUUACUCAAGCGGAGAUAUGUCCCACCUCACUACCACCGCGAUCUUCAAAGAAAAUUCAGAAAACUGUACCAGGGUCAAAGGACAGUAGAAGAGUACUAUGAUGAGUUUGAGAUCUUGAGGAACAGGCUGGAGCUAGAGGAAUCAGAAGAGACACUCAUGUCCCAUUUCAUUGAAGGUCUCAAUGACCGAAUCGCUAGAAAAGUGGAGAGACAACCAUACCAUCAACUUCACGAGCUGUUGCACCUAGCCAUCCAAGUGGAGCAACAGAUAAAGAAGAAGACAUCUACUGCUCAGAAAGCUAAGUCUAAUCCGCUAACAUGGAGUGCACCAACACCUCAGCCCAUUGACAAAGGAAAGUCCCUUGAAAUUGAAUCUCGAUUCAAAAGUAAGGUGCAUGACUCCUUUAGAGAUGUGCGCCAAGAGCAAGGUAAGUCUUCUACUCCUUACCACACACGUGAACUGACUUGUUACAGAUGCAAAGGAAGAGGUCACAUAUCACGUGACUGCCCAAACCCAAGGGUGAUGAUCGUUUUGCCAUCCGGUGACUAUGAAUCGCAAGAUGAAGAAGAACCUGAGAAUGAUAAGGAGACUGUCGAAUAUGCUGAUGAAGGAGAAUCUCUGGUUAUACUAAGAGCUUUAAACGCUCAGGUUUUUGAAGAAGACAAAGCCCAAAGAGAGAAUCUCUUUCACACUCGUUGUACCGUGAAAGACAAGGUAUGUCAUCUCAUUAUAGAUAGCGGUUCUUGUACUAACAUUGCAAGUUGUUUGAUGAUUGAGAAGCUAGGUUUUACUACUACAAGUCACCCUAGACCUUACAAGCUUAAGUGGCUGAAUGACAAAGAGGAGCUGAGCGUUUCCAAACAAGUGAAAGUUCCCUUUUCAAUCGGCGACUACAAAGAUGAAGUAGUGUGUGAUGUUGCACCAAUGGAAGCUGGCCAUAUCCUCUUAGGACGACCAUGGCAGUAUGACAGAGAGGUAUCACAUAAUGGGAGAACAAACCAAUACUCUUUCAGUUUUAACGAUCGGAGGAUCACACUUGCCCCAUUAGAUCAUUCGGAAGUCUGUGUGAUGCAAGCUAGAGCAAAAGAGAAAAGGCAACUCAAGGUAAGUCUUUUUCUACAAAAAUCUGAACCUUUACCUUCCUUAGAGCCCAUAACACACUUGUCUUUGCCAAAAGAGUCAAAAACAGGUUAUGAGAAGCUUGCGGCCACAGAGUUCAUCAAGAAAUCAACAAAGGAUGCACUCGAUAUUCACUCAACGUGGAAGGACAGCAAGGCAAGAAUGAAAGAACAUGGCUACCUCUACUCAAUGCUGAUCAGAGAAGCCCCACGAAUAUCAGACCAACCACCAAAACCGAACCAACACCAAGGUAAGCUUCUAAACCAAUACUCGGGAUACAAGUCUAACUUACUCUAUUUUGGUGCAGGUCAUAUGGUUUCGAGGUCGAAACCUCUUCAAGAGAGAGGGUAUGAUGCGGACAUCAGUACCUGGAGUCGUGGAGAGGACAAGUGCAACGGACAUGCGAGUCUAGCCAAGGGUAAAGGAAAGACGAUCUCCCUUGUUGGGCAAGUCAAUGACGAAGGGGAGACGACUGUCAUUGAUUUGCCUUCUCUAGACUCCUAUCCCAUCACAAAGAAGCCAUCAAACCUCUCGGCUCACGUUCCAGCCGAACCAGACCAGAAAACAUCAACCGACUUGACCCGACGCCGAGAAAACCUCUCAAAGUCAACCGACGUCAAUUUUGAUGAGUUAAACUACUCCAGCUUCAAGAUUCAUCAACCAAACACCUACAAGAAGACAUUUUGUCGUGGAAGAAUUCCCCUGGAGCGAUUUCAUUUAGAAGUUGCCCGAGACCCUCCAUUCAGAGCCUACCGAGACCCGAGUCAUGAGUUCACGCUUUGUUUCUCUUUUUCAAGUGUUGCUGCAAAUUCUCAAGUCACUGGGAUAUCAUAUUAGACGUACAUGGAAGAGAAAAGAAAGCUCAAAAUCUAUUUGGAGCGUUCACACUAAAGAGAAGCCACCUAGACCAAGACUUGCCUUAAACGGAACCGUUCACACUUGUGUUCACACCAGGCGACUUCUACACUUAAAAACUCGUGGUCCCACUUUCAAGAGACGUCCUCCAAGGCUUCUAGAAGACAUAUAUUGGCCAGAACAAGUUUUCCUUUUGUGCCUUAGACAUUAAAAUGUCAAACGGCUCUUUUCUCAUGAUUAGCAAAUCUUUGUUUCCUUUUCUUUGUUUUGUGAACGUUGAGCAGACUCUUUAUAAGCUCUUCGUCUCUUUCUUUGUUGGGGACACAUCUCUAUUCUAAUAAACUUCAGUUUUUGUUUCAAAGCUUUGUGCCUUUGAUUCUGUUCUUGUUUUAUCGAUUUCUCUUAAGUAUUGUGUGUGGAAUUCCCCUUGCUUAAGAAUCGAUUGAUCCUGUUCUUUCUAGUGCGUGGUUAUCCCCAGGAAAGUCAGUAUCAACCCUUGUUUGUCUCAGCAAAAACCGCACCUGAGCCAAGCUUCCAUCAUUCACCAUCGAUCCACCCUUCCGCAUAAGCCUUUUAGAGCCAUGAGGCCUUUGGUUUAAAGACUUGAUCUCGAGUCUUACAUCAGUUCUGCCUGCUGGGAGACCGCUUCUUGGCGCAUCUUUUUCACCCUCAACGUAAGGGUUGGGUUCAGAGAUUCAGACGCAGUAUGGUCUUCGCUGAAAUCCUACUUUUUCUAUGUCUUCUGCAAAUGGUCAUUGUCACUUCACAUGUGUAAGAAUAACACAUUAAAUGCCAUUAUCAUGGGUUGUAAGAGUAUGGGCAAUCGAAUCAAAUUAAGGCAUAUUUCAAUUCUCGAAUGGAAAUAAAUUUGAACCUUGUUUCCCGCUUAAUAGAUUGUUCAUACUUGGCCCAGAUUCUUUGAUACUGAGACCGGACUGUUGGGAUUGUCUCGCUGGCUGGCCACUACUAAAAAAAGACUCUAUAGCUACAGAUUUUUCUGUAGCUGUAGCCUAAAAUCCGUAGCUAUACAGCUAUUUAGCUACAGAAAGUUACGAAAAACAUUUGUAGCUAUAGCUUCAUAGCUAAUUUAAUUUCGUAGCUUUUCCUGACUAAAUUAUCCACGGAUUACUACGACCGUUUUUGUGGCUUUUUGAGCUACGAUUUAGUUAUAGAAGCAUCUGUGACUAGUUAAAUAAAAGCCACGAGUAUAUUCGUGACUAAUCAGUGACUUUUUCAAAAUAAAAAAAAAAAAAUUAAUAACAAUAAUUUGUUAUAUAUUAAUAACAACUAGGAGAGAAUCCGCGCAUAUGCACAGAUCUUGUUUUAAUUUAUAUUUUAAAUAAUACAUUUUUAGAAUUUAUAUUGAAUUUUAUUUUUACCAUCAAUGUUUUUUUGUUUAAAUAUUUAUAUUUUCUGAUUUCUUCUAGAUGAUAAAUUAUUUGUAAUCUCUUCCACACCGGUUGUACCAAAUAAUCCAAUUUUUCUCUUACGGCAAUGAGGGACUAAAGAUCUACUGUUUUAAUCUAUUCUAUUAAAACAGAAGCACAUUUAGUGCUUGCAUCCAAACAUUCCCAAAGUUUUUUUAUAAUAUUUUAUCUUAUUUUUAUAUUUAAUUUCCGAAAUUAGUUAUUAAUUUAUAUAUUUUUAGAUUUCCUAAAAUCUAGGUCAUCUUUAAUUUAAAUUUCAAAUUAUUAGAAAUUUAAUUAAAUUUAGUUACAAAAAUUUGCAUUCAAUUUAAUUUAAAUUAAAAAAAAUCAAAAAAUUAUAAUUAAAUUUUAUUACAAAAAUUUAGAUAAUAAUUUUAAUACUUUAGAAUUUCUUAAAUACAGAAAAGAUUUAAUUUAAAAUUUUAAAUUUAAAUAAUUUUUUUUAUAAAAAUACAUAGUAAAUAAAUAUUUUAUCGUAUUUUAUCAUAAACAAUCGGUAUAAAAUAUCAAAUAUUUAAGAGUAAUAAAUAUUUAUAUUAUACAAUAAUAUGAUUGAGCUGAUUAGAGUUAUAUAUAUAUAUAUAUUUAAGGUCUAUGAGUUAAUUUAUUAAAACAUGUAAGAUAUUAAAAUGAUUUGAAACAAUUAAACUAACAGGUUAACUCGUUUAUAUAUAUUUAUAUAUAUAUAUAUAUUUUAAUAAUACAAAUAAUAAAUAAAUAUCUUAUCUUAUAUUUUUUCAUAAUCAAUUAGUCCAAAUAUUUCAUAUUAGUAAAUAUUUAUAGGAUUAUACAAUUAUAAUUAUAAUCUUAUAUGGAUUAGUUUGUCAAAACAUGUAAGAUAUUAAAAAUGAUUUAAGACAACUAAACGGAUGGAUUAGCAAAUUCAUAGCUAUAAAGAUUGUUUAUGUGUAAAUCUAAAUUCACAUAAUAACAAAGUUUAUAAUUAACAUUAAAUCAAUGUAUACUUAAUUAACGUAUACUUUUAUUCUACUAAUAUACAAAUUUUACUGUUUAAAAUUAAAAUAUGCUAACAAUUUUUUUAUUUAAAAAAAUAAAUAACAAAAAAAAUUAUAUCUAAACAAAAAAGAUAAAUGCAACUUAUAUUAAAAAUAAAAAAUAAUACAUUUCCGUGCGGACGCACAGGGUUAAAAUCUAGUUUAUAUAUAAAACGUAAUAGCUCAUAGAAAAAUUUACCAUUUUGAGUUUUUUUGGUUAUAUAUAUUUUAUUGAUUACAUCUUUUUAAAAAUUACUAAAAAAUUUUGUAUGACAUUUUUAUGUAUCCACUUUAUUUUUUACUAUUAUUUUUUAAUAAUUUUUUAUCUCUUUAAUUAUUUAUUGAAUAUUUUGUAUAUUAUAAUUUUAUUAGUUAAAGUUUUAUAUAAGAUUAUUUAAAGUUUCUUAAUUUAUUCAAUCUGAUAAUUUUUUUUCACUUUCAUAAAAAUUUAGUUAUACUUUUAGUUUGAAAAUAUGGUUUAAAUCAUUUAGAAAGAAGAAAUGGAAUGAUGUAUUUCAAAAAAUUUUAUAUUAUAUAAUAUUUAUAACUUUUGAUAUAUUUAAAAUAAAUUUGAAUUUAUUUAUUUAAAUACAUUUGUUAUACAUAUUAAUAUUUAUUAAUGUUUUUUAGUGUUUUUUCUUUAAAUAUAAUUAAUUAUUUAUUUCAUUAAAAUUUUAAAUAAACAAGUAUGCGUUGCAAUCUUUUUCUGUCCGUGAGGAUCCCACCAAAGCGCCUUGCACUUCUAAUAGGCCAUGAAAUAGAUCUGAAUCAUUCUCAAUGAAUCCAUAAGAAGUGAUCCUAUUUUUUUCAUCGGGUCCGGGUAGAGACCAAAGGUCUUGAGCGACCGAUCCGGCAGAACAACUCAAAAGAUAAAGAAGUAUCGUAAAUUUCUUCAUGCUCGUUCCAAGUUCGAAGUACCAUUUGUACAAAUAAGAAUCCCCUUCGUUACAUGAUUUCUUCUUCAUAUAGAUAGAUAUAGGAUCUACAAGUAGCUGGAGAAAGUUGGCCAGUUUUAUAUAUAAGAUAAUCUGAAUACAAUAUGUAUUAUCUAUAUCUAUAUAUCUUUGCAAAACGGAGAUAUAGCAGUGGGCAUCAGCGGUUGGCGGCGGAUAUCACCGGCGGUCAGUGGUGGUGAUUGCAAGAACGGGAUCGGCGUGAACGCUAAAGCAGCGGUGAUGAACCCAUUUCCUCAACGAAAUCAGUGCUCAAAGAUUUCUCUGUCAGACCAAAUCAGGUAAAACCUCACUCUUAACGGCGGAACGUUGGCGGCGAAGAGAUCUAAAAAAAGUUAGAUCUGAAAAAGAUUAGGAAGGAGACGAAGAUGAGAAAGAAGAAGAGGAAGGAGAAGAGAAAACUUAUCAGACGGUGGCAAUGAUUUUUGAGUAUCGGCGUUGGAGGCGAGAAAGAGAAACAGAUUAGUUUCUUUUUUUGACACAGAAGUAGAUCUGCGUUAUGAGAUGAAGAAAAAAGGAGAGGAUUUGUGUCUGUUGGAUUUAAUUUUUAUCCAACGGUGGAUGUUAUAGUAAAGUGUGAUCCUCUCCCCUAAUAAGUAACCAAUGAGAAGCCAGUCUUUUGAAAGUUCAAUAACGCUUUCAUUACUUUGUCAUUAGUGAGAUUAUAUUGCAAUUUUCAGUAACGAUUGAUAAAUUAAUACUAGAUAAUUAAAUGAUCCAAACCAAAUACAGAAACAUUCAUUAAUUUUUUUUAAAUUAUUUCAAAGUUAUAACUAUCAAAUAUUCGUUAAAGUUAAAAAAAAAUUUUUAUUAAACAC